CUUUUGCGAGAAUCAAUCUCAAAAACACAAAAAGAUUAAAUGAAUUUUUCCUAAAUCCUAUUUUGCCCUUUUAAAAACAGUUUAUCAAACAUCUCAACUAAUUCCUCUCACAGCAAUUCCAGAAGCAAUUCUUCUUACAGCAAUUCCAGAAGCAAUUCUUCUCACAGCACAGCUGUCCCAAACUGGGCCUUAGUUAGGUCUGCCUAAUUUCCUAUAUUGUUAACGUUGUGGUCUAACUAACAUGUAGAGAUGAUGUCUUGUACCUCAUUUUCAUGUUUUCCGGUUUCUCUUACAGUAUAUACUAUAAGGAGGCGUUUGGUGACUUUGACUAGAUAGGAUAUAUAAUGAAAUCUUGUUCAAACCUGACAAGAUUGGAUAUGCGGAUAUCCUGCCUCUUAUCAAAUACAGCGUUUAGUAAGGUGUAUAAUUGGCUGUGUUUGAGCCCAGUGGGUAUUUUUUGGUCUAAGACUCGGGGUACGUUUUAGAUAACGCUUGGGCCAGUACCUGUGGCCCUUUUUUAAUGCGAAGCCCACGAAGGGUGGCGAAGUCUGGCAACACGCGAGUUAGAGUUUUGCAAGGAUUCCGAUACCCCGCGGGAUUCGAUGUCCUCGCGGGAUCUUUUGUUCCAGGUCGUGUAGGAUUCUACAGUGCAUGGCGAGGUAGAGUUGGAAAUGGACUGUGGUACUCCGCGGGAUAGGAUCGCUUAAUGUUCGAGUUCGCGUACGAGGCUACAGUGAGAUGAUGCGGGGCGGUGAGCGAGACCUAGGCGAGGUCUGUUUUGGACACGUGUUGCACGGAUCGCGCGGCUCGCGAGCUGGUCGUAUCCUUGUGGAAUUCUAAUUGCUGAGUCCGAACGGGUUAUGAUUAGGUCUCUGCGAAUUGCUUGCGGAUCGCUAUAUAAGGGAGCUCGACACAAACAAAGAAAGGACAAGCAAUCAUACAAAAACAAUUACAAAUCCUCGAGCAUCCUCGAAACCCUAAGUUCUAAGUGCACUUCGCCUUAGUUCUCAGACUCCCUCCUGAUUCGCCUUUUUCCCUAUUUGUUNNNNNNNNNNNNNNNNNNNNNNNNNNNNNNNNNNNNNNNNNNNNNNNNNNNNNNNNNNNNNNNNNNNNNNNNNNNNNNNNNNNNNNNNNNNNNNNNNNNNNNNNNNNNNNNNNNNNNNNNNNNNNNNNNNNNNNNNNNNNNNNNNNNNNNNNNNNNNNNNNNNNNNNNNNNNNNNNNNNNNNNNNNNNNNNNNNNNNNNNNNNNNNNNNNNNNNNNNNNNNNNNNNNNNNNNNNNNNNNNNNNNNNNNNNNNNNNNNNNNNNNNNNNNNNNNNNNNNNNNNNNNNNNNNNNNNNNNNNNNNNNNNNNNNNNNNNNNNNNNNNNNNNNNNNNNNNNNNNNNNNNNNNNNNNNNNNNNNNNNNNNNNNNNNNNNNNNNNNNNNNNNNNNNNNNNNNNNNNNNNNNNNNNNNNNNNNNNNNNNNNNNNNNNNNNNNNNNNNNNNNNNNNNNNNNNNNNNNNNNNNNNNNNNNNNNNNNNNNNNNNNNNNNNNNNNNNNNNNNNNNNNNNNNNNNNNNNNNNNNNNNNNNNNNNNNNNNNNNNNNNNNNNNNNNNNNNNNNNNNNNNNNNNNNNNNNNNNNNNNNNNNNNNNNNNNNNNNNNNNNNNNNNNNNNNNNNNNNNNNNNNNNNNNNNNNNNNNNNNNNNNNNNNNNNNNNNNNNNNNNNNNNNNNNNNNNNNNNNNNNNNNNNNNNNNNNNNNNNNNNNNNNNNNNNNNNNNNNNNNNNNNNNNNNNNNNNNNNNNNNNNNNNNNNNNNNNNNNNNNNNNNNNNNNNNNNNNNNNNNNNNNNNNNNNNNNNNNNNNNNNNNNNNNNNNNNNNNNGCCGACUGGCCCACUAUGGAGAGACUUUUCCGAGAGACAUACGGCACAAUUGAACCUGAAGUCGGCCUCGAUUCCCUCACACAGAUGACCCAGCAAAGCAUGGAGUCUGGCGUUUCUUUCCUCCAGCGUUUCAAGAUCCAGCAAGCCAAGUGCGAUUACUUGCUACCGGAACAGGAAGCCAUUAAGUUGGCUAUCAGAGGCCUGGAGCACCGCCAGCGGUUGAAGCAUCACGGAGAGCGCUUUACUUCCAUGGGUGACCUGAUUAACAAAGUUGGUAGCUACGAACUAAUCUUGAACGAGUUGGAUGACAGAGCAAAUGCCUCCAAAAGAACCUACAUACCAGGGAAGAAUCGGACAGUGGGGGCAUUAAGCCUGCAGGCCCCUACUUAUGAUUCGUAUUAUCAAAGGUCUGAGGAAGCUCGCCCGGAUCAGGAACAUGAAGAUAUUGGCGCAGUAGAACUGACUGGCAAGCCGUUGGCUCAUAAAUUGAAAAACCUGAAAAUAACGCGCAAGCCAAUCACCAUCCAGUCCUUUGCAUGGACCAAGCCAGAGUACGAGUCGUACACCUAUGAUGUUAAGAACGCCCAUCUGGUCUUUAAUGACCUAAUCGAGGCAAGAUACGUGCGCUUGGAUCACAAGAUACCGCCCAAGGAGGAGCUGAAAGACAAGAAGUACUGCGCCUUCCACAAUGUCUACAAUCAUGACACUAAAGAUUGUGUCAAGCUUCGAGACCAGCUGCAGACAUGGCUGAACUCAGGCGAACUAAAGAUGAAAACACCGGGUAGUACGGCCUCGUUAGUUGAUAUAGACCCUUUCCCGCCUGUAGUUGGCAUGGUCGAGGUAAACUGGGCCGAUCAGACCGAGGACGAAGAUCGACGCCGGGCACCUAAAAGGGGCCGCGAGGAAGGUGACGAUGGUGCCCGCCGGCCACGUCGCCAAUACACCUACAACGAAGAUCUUGCACAUGAGGUUUUAGACAAUCUCAUUGAAGACGGGCUCGUCACAGUGGCCAAUUCCUUGCCAUACAUAGAAUAUAAGGAGGGGCGCAUUCACUGCAAGUUUCAUAAUAGCUGGGGGCACAGAACCUGCGAAUGCCAGCAACUCAGAGACCAGGUUCAAGACUGGCUCGACCUCAGGUAUAUUCGCUUUAAGAAUAAGGGCGACUUCAUGAUCGCAACGGCUGACUUCGCUUGGCCUCGAGUCGGCCAAUGAAGAAUCACAUUAGACUUGUCGCCAAAUGCAGGUUUACACGAACCGUCGGGCCGAAAUCGCAAACGGCCGGUGAAUAACUAUACUGUCCCGAAUAACCAGCAGGGGAAAGCAGACGACCCAGCUCGACAGUUGGUCGCUAAGCUCGAAAUAGACCGCCCCUCCCGCAAAGAUAAGGGCAAAGCAGUCAUGAGGGACGAUGAACCGUUUCCCGUUGAAGAUCUCCAGCUUAUGAGUCCCAGGACUCGAGAAGAGGUGGAAAGGAGGGUAGAACGUCUCGAGACGUUCGUCUAUACACAUUGGGCAGAGGCGGUACCUUCAUCCCCUGCCACAAGUGAGAUGGACAUGUCAGACUCCAGCGGUGACCGUCACAACAACGAGGCCUCGAGCCCUCGUAAAGGCGUCCUAACCGACCCCUAUAUUCCCCCGACAUCCAAAUCAGCGAUCAAGGAUGGGGUCUGGUACACACAGCAAGGGGGCAAGGCAGUUACCAUCAGCAAGUCUAAGAGGCGAAAGCUCCAAAAGCGAUACGGUAGUAUCCUACGUGCCUUACGGGCCGUUGAAGAGGGCGCCGUACGCCCCUCACAGCUCGCACAGACGCCUGAGCGGAUGUGGAGGGAAGCAGAGGGUUUGCGCGCAUUCCUUCAAAUGCCGCCUGUCACACCCCCAAGGAUUUGCGAGCAGUUCAACGACGAGCCUGCACCCAAAGCAAACGUCUUUUGCCGACUCGCGGUUCCACCAAAGCAGGAUCCACAACCUUCCAGGCGCAGGCCAUCACCAGAACCUGAAAGAAGAAGGGAUCCACAACCUUCCAGGCGCAGGGCAUCACCAGAACCUGAAAAAAAAGGGAUCCACAGCCUUCCAGGCGCAGACCAUCACCAGAACCUAAAAGAAGAAGGGAUCUACAACUUGCUAGGCCCAAACCGUCACCAGAGCCUGAAAAGAGAAGGGAUCAACAAGCUCCCAGGCACAGGCCGUCACCGGAGCCCGAACGGAGAAGGGCUCCGCCUACCGGUCCUAGGCAUAAGCUGUUCACGACCCCGGACCCAGAGCCCAAACGCGAACCGUCUCAGCCCUCACGGCAACGGGAACGUCAAAAUCCGGAGGCCAAUAUCAGAAGGGAGCCACCACCACCACACCAGCCUCGGGCACGGUCUACCCCGGAGCCCGAGACUCGGAUGGUUCCCCGAGUAUCCGCCCUACAACGGUUGAAAAAAGAAGACAACGAUAAGGCUCCUUUAGCAACAGACAAACAACCAGCCAAGGACCAUCAGCCUUCAACCAAGUCAGUAUGGCGUUCGCGGCAACCCGAGGCUCAAGAACCACCAAUAACCGCACAGGCGCCCUCCAGUCCUAACCUCGCCCAACAAAUGGCCCAGCGUUUCCGCGAGAAUUCAGAAGACAACGAGGCACAUUCAGAACCUCGACUUAACCUAGAGGAAGACCGGGACGAAGAGCAGGCAGAAUCAUUCACCUGUAAUAUGAUAGAGGUCUCAGGAUGGGGUGCUGAUGAAGGGUUUAGCCGCGAAGCAGACGCUUUCGCGGUGCUCGAAGGCGAACACGGGAUCAUUGACACUCCCCUGGUCCUAGUUCCUGAACAAUUCUCCUUUCAAGUCAGGAUGGUGUUCUUCAUUUCGGAAAGAUACGCUCUCCCACCGAACACAACCUACAGUGUGGCGGAUAUUCCCGUCAGCAGCGAGGAUGUCAGUAGCAUACCCCCGCCAUGCAGCAGCGAAAUGGGCCCAGUUCCGGCACAGGCCGAUGACGCCCCACAGGUGGAAAUUACGAGCAGCAUCAAACAUAAGCAAACUCUAACAUUCUCCACACCAACUUUGGACAUGGUCACUCACAUGCGGCCACUGUAUAUCACGGCCGAAGUUGAAGGAAAAAUGAUCAACAAGGUCAUGGUCGACACCGGUGUCGUGGUCAAUGUUGUCACAACCCGUACCAUGGGACUCCUAGACAUCCCGCGCUCGAUGAUCCAAACCACGUCCUUAACAGUCAAGAACUUCACCGGGCAAGUGUCCAGAACCCUAGGCUUGCUAUUUCUACGGGUCAAGGUCGGGCCGACAUCACGGGUUUACACUUUUUUCGUCGCCGAAUGCGCUUCCUCUUACAGCAUGAUUCUUGGCCGAGAUUGGAUCCACAGAAGUUUUUGCGUGCCUUUCUCCAUGCACCAAGAACUCAUGAUUUGGGACGCCGAGAACCGUGAAGCGGUCAUCAUCAAAGCCGACCCGCGGCCAUUCUCCAUCUCCGCCAACUUCAACGAUACCCGAUAUUAUACUACAGACAUGGGUCCGUUGGAUGUUUAAGGCGUCGAUAACAAGGGCCGCCCAUAUGGAAUAACGGCCUCCAAUCUAACGCGAUGGGGACUUACCCAGGCGAAAGACGAUUUGCAACGUCCUCACACCAUCGCGGAUCCCACACCCCGUUCUGAUGAAUAGUGCCUUCUCAGAGGAGGCACGCGAGGUUGGCGAGUCCUUGUGCGAAAGACUCCUUUCGUACUGGGCAGAACGCGAAGCCUACGACAAGGUCGCGACUAUGGAAUAUGUAGAUAAAGUGGUGGAUUAUUCCGAUACCAAGGAGGAAGUUAUUCACUUAGCUCCCGCCGCCUUGGACGACACACCACCUCAAGUCCGCGACCCCAUUUCACAAGUUGACGUAGGGACUGCAGAAAAGCCCUUACUUAUUUCUAUCAGUGCCAAGUUGGCGGAGGACGAAAAGGAAACCCUUCUUGCUCUAUUAUGCGAGUAUAGGGAUUGCUUCGCCGAAAAAUACAAAGACAUGCCUGGCUUGUCCCCGGACUUAGUCUGCCACCGGUUACCAACUUAUCCCGACCGACGUCCAGUACGGCAGGACGGCCGAUUCAUGCGAACUGAGACUCAGAUCGUAGUCAAGGAAGAGAUCGAAAGCAUGCACCGAUCGGGCAUCAUUCGCGUGGCAAAGUAUAGCGAGUGGCUGUCCAAUAUUGUCCCCGUCCGUAAGAAAAAUGGCAAGAUGCGCAUCUGUGUUGAUUACCGCGACCUAAACAACGCAACACCAAAGGAUAUAUACCUCAUGCCUGUGGCUGACCUACUCAUUGAUGCCGCCGCGGGGCACGAGGUGUUAUCCUUUAUGGAUGGAACGGCCGGAUACCAUCAGAUUCCCGUCGCUGAGGAAGAUCGACACAAGACCGCUUUCCGCUGCCCUGGUUUUGCCGGCGCGUUCGAGUAUGUUGUCAUGCCUUUCGGACUUAAAAACGCGGGGGCAACGUACCAGCGCGCCAUGAACCUCAUCUUUCAUGACAUCUUGGGGAAGUUGAUCGAAGUAUACAUCGACGAUGUGGUAGUCAAAACCAAAACACGGGCAACCCACGUUGAAGACCUGUGGCAGGUGUUUACACGGAUGCGCCGACAUAACCUGAAGAUGAACCCCGCCAAGUGUGUUUUCUUCACGGAGGCCGGCGAUUUCCUUGGUUUCCUAGUGCAUCAAAAAGGCAUCGAAAUCCCAAAGGACAAGGCACAGGCGGUAAUCACCGCUUCACCCCCCAACACAAAGAAGGAGCUUCAACAGCUGCUUGGGAGAAUCAACUUUCUCCGCCGUUUCAUAUCCAACGCGGCAGGGAAGGUCCAGCCUUUUUCACCCCUCCUCAAGCUCCAGGGGGCAACCGAGUUCAUCUGGGAACCACAACAUCAACAGGCCUUCGAUCGAAUCAAGGACUACCUUACGAACCCACUAGUCCUGAUCCCACCUCGCGACGGUACCCCGCUUAAACUUUAUAUCGCCGCUGCAGACUUGUCCAUCGGCGGACUCCUGGCCCAAGACGAUGUGAACGGGGUAGAACACGCUGUCUAUUACCUUAGCAGGGUGUUAACUGAGUGUGAGACACGAUACUCACCUAUGGAGAAAUUGUGUCUUGCCCUAUAUUUUGCAGGGUGCAAGCUGCGCCAUUACAUGCUUGCUUUUACCACGGUUGUGAUCGCUCAUUCCGACCUGGUCAAAUACAUGCUUUCUCGCCCUAUCUUGCGGGGACGCAUCGGCAAGUGGAUCUUAGCCAUGUCCAAAUUCUCGUUGCAAUAUGUUCCGCAAAAUGCAGUAAAAGGACAGGCAAUAGCAGACUUUCUUGCUCAUCACCCACCCUCAGAGCUCACGGCGUUUCGCGAGUUGGAAUUCGCUGCUGUGGCACUCGCUCCAUGGACCCUGUACUUUGAUGGUUCACGGAUUGAUACCGCAGCUGGAGCUGGGAUAGCCAUAGCCAAUCCCGCUGGAGAUCGCUUCUCCUAUUCGUUCCAGCUCGAUUUCAAAUGUACCAACAACCAGGCUGAGUACGAGGCGUUGAUCAUCGAACUAGAGAUUUUGUUGGAUUUAGGAGUCCGCGAGGUUCAGAUCUUUGGCGAUUCUUUGUUAGUCGUUAACCAGCUGGUGGAAAAGUUCAAGUGCUUAAGCUCGUCAAUUGAACCAUACCUGCGCAAGGCAUUUGAGGUGUUGGAUCGAUUCGACGACGUCUACAUCGAACACAUACCACGUGAGUUCAACUUCGCCGCCAACGAGCUCGCCCAGGUAGCAUCCGGCCUCAGCCUGCGCGACGGCGUGCGCGAGCGUUUGCUCAAGGUCGAGCGCAGUACUCUUCCCUCUUUCAUCGCUAGGGGCAGUUUCAGGCCGCCACCCCCGAAGUUGCGGCCUUGGACCCUAUCGACGAGGAUUGGCGGCUACCAUUUAUCGCCUACCUCCAGAACCCCAACGACGCCGCUCACUCCAGGCAGAUACGUUUCCUCGCCCUAAACUUUGUUUUACGCAAUGGCGAACUCCGGCGGCGUGGGGAAGAUGGAACCGACUUCCGCUGCGUGUAUGGGAACGAAGCUAAACGUGUCAUGCGCGAAGUACAUUGUGGAGUUUGCGGUUCGCACCAGGCCGGGCCAAAAAUGCGUUGGUUAAUCCGUCGCCAUGGGUACUACUGGCCAACCAUUCUGAAAGACUGUAUUGCCUUCGCCAAAGGUUGCCAAGACUGCCAGGCUCACGGACCAGUGCAACAUAUUCCCAACAUCCCGUUGCAGCCUAUCAUUAAACCUUGGCCGGGUCGCGGUUGAGCGAUAGAUUUCGUUGACAUCAUUCAUCCCCAUUCUUCUGAGCAGCAUAAGUUCAUUAUCGUCGCCACCGAUUUCUUUACCAAAUGGGUCGAGGCCGAACCACUUAAGGUUGCAUCCGCCAACUCGGUGCGCAACUUUAUUUUCCGCAAUAUCAUCUCCCGCUUUGGUAUCCCGGAGUGCAUCGUUACGGACAGGGGGGCAGCUUUCAUGGCUGAUUCAGUUGUUAAGUACUUAAACGACUACGACAUCAAGCUUCUCCACUCUACGCCAUAUUAUGCACAGUCCAACGGCCAGGCGGAGGCUAGUAAUAAGGUUAUCCUCGGUAUCCUCCGCAAGAUGUUGGAGUUGAACCCGCGUGUCUGGCAUGAGGAACUCUACCACACCUUGUGGGCUUACCGCACUUCAAAGCGCGGCCCGACGGAUACUACCCCGUACGCUCUCAUGUACGGUCAUGAUGCCGUCCUUCCCCUCGAGAUCAAUAUAGCUUCACUACGCGUUCAGGAACAGCAUCAACUACUUGGCGAGGAUUACGUCCAAGCUAUGUGGCAGGAGCUUGAAGAUCUCGACGAGCACCGCGUCGCCGCUUUCAACAAUCUCAUCCUCGAGAAACAACGCAUCGCGCGUUCGUACGAUAAAGUCACGCGCGGACGGAACUAUGCCGAGGGCCAAAAGGUGUGGCGCGCGGUACUCCCACUUGGGGAAAAAACCGACGGUCGGGGCAAGUGGUCCGCUCGAUGGGAAGACCCCUUUAUUAUUCAUCGUAUACUCCCCAAUGGAGCAUACCACCUGCGCGACUUGGACGGCACCAUCCAUCGCAAUCCUAUUAAUGGCCGUUUCCUCAAGCGCCACUUUGCUGGAGUUUGGGAACGCGAGGAUCCUCCACCUCCCCCAGGCCCCGUCGCUAAUGUCAAUAGUGUUACGCGCCAUCGCGUUCUCGCUCCGCUGCCUAACACUAGGGGGCAAUCCGAGGUAGAAGACUGAUAGAGUACGUUGUAACAUACCAGCCUAAAAGGGCCAAUAUAAGAUUGGGGCCUAUUCCAGAGGCCCUAAAUAAGGAUAACUCUGUUUUUCUUCAUUUUCUGUAAACGUGCAAAGUCUAAACGCAAAUGCCAGUACAAGAUUGGGGCCUAUUCCAGAGGCCCUAAAAAACAAUAAAUUCAUUUAUUUUGCCUUUUUGGCGUUGUUUCAAUACAAGUUUCGAACAUCGGCUUUGCGGCCGAAGCAACUACAUUGACAGAAAGGGUGAAAUUACACUAGGUUUACAUUCAGAAGCAUAGAUCUGCAGAUAUUGGAAGCCUCAACCCGUAUAUCUUGCAGGGUUGAAGAAGAGACUGCCGCCGCAUCCUUCGUUUAAAGUCGGCAAACGCCCCGCUCCCAUAGACCAGCACGAGCCUUGACACCGGCCUGGACCUAAGACAAAGUGUUGGGAAGCUAGAGGUCCACUGGACCAGGGUCCCUCAUACUACCGGUCAUGCCUCGAAGAUGCUUGAAAGGCACUGACCAGAACCUGAAGCGCAAGCGGAUGCGAAGCCUCGAGAACCUCACGUUUGGACAGAACAGCUGGUGCAAGGCAGAAGGUACCCAACCAUUAGUUUGUCCAAACAAAGGCUUGACCUGAGAGUAGAUUUUCAUAUUCACUCCCGACCUGAGAGUAGAUUUUCAGACUCAUAGGGAACGAAGAGUGGAAAUAAGAGGUGGGGGCUUUGCUUUAAGCAGGGACAAGAGGAUAUACAGAAGGGUAUAAGAGCCCAUGGCAAGGGGGCAAAGACUUAACUGGUACUUCGGCCCGGCCAAGCGUUUCUUUUUAUAGGCAAAAAAUGCCGAUUUUCCUUUUGACAAAUGUCCUCCAUGCAGCGAUUUGCUUCGAAAUAUGAGCUUUUGAGACAAGGUCGGACAUGUUAUUCCAUGAUGACUGCCCGCGUUCCAAGCGAGUAGUUACAUUGGAAACCCCCACCGAAUCUCGGAAGAAGAUUUUUUCCUGAGAAUGCAGUUCUUACACAAGAUUCGACAAAGAGCGGGAAAGAUUUGAUUUAAUAUUAAUAUUAUUAUAAAGGUUCAUACAAAGGGGGCAAAGCGCUGAUCAAGUCUAAACCCGCCUAGAAGCCCUAUACAAAUCUAUGAGAAGGCCUUCUAAGGCCAACUCUUCAACAUCCGCCUAGGCUUGGGUUUCGUCGGCAGCAGCAAUAGCCGAGUCCAAAGCUUCCUGGGUCUCUUCCGCGGCCUGCACACGGGUUUCUGCUUCUUCAGCUCGGGCCAAGUUCUGGCGAGCUUUAGCAAGUUGAGCUUGCAGCUCCGCUAUCUGAGCCUCCAGGGCCUCCACUUGCCGAGCAUAAACAGUACACGGAUUCUCUAAAGACGCCUCAGGAAUCUCAGCGUCUUCAAGUUCGGCUAAAAGGGCUGCCAUCUGAUGGUCUAAGGCUUGGCGGACUUUCUCGUGAGCAGCCGACUGGGCACCGGCAUCUUGAACUCGGCGAGCCUGCAGCUCGACAGCGUCGAUGAGUUCUAACACAUGGUCUAGAGCAGGGUUGCUGCCGGCGAGGUGCCAAAUCAGAGCUUCAUGGGCCUCGCGGACACGCCUCACCAAGUCAAAUACAUUCAUGUGGGGACCUUGACGCAGUAGCCCGUGAAAGAAAACUCGGGCUAGGCGAAUGGGCUCUGGAUCGGCAGGCGGGGUAAUCCGGGCCCAAAGACGAGCGGUCCGGGUAGCCAAAGAAGAAACCGCCUCGCCGGAUGUUCUCAUUGGGGCCGGGGUGGUUGGUUCAACCUUUGCGACUGCCUCAAUUUCUGGAACGGGCGUUGGGACCUCAGAUCGAGUAGGGACUGUCGGUUCUUCGGUGGUCUGGGCCGUUGAGUCUGGUUGCAAAAGAGAGGGCUCAAGCACCGGUUGCAAGUCCUUUGACGGAACCGCCGAAGGGGCAGCAAAGUCAGAAAGCCGGGUGGUCUGGCCGAGAUCUUCAUCUUGAGCAGGAGCCGAGGUAGGCUCUAGAGGCGGGCCAGUUUCGCCUAGAGCGUCGGUUGGAGAAGGGGGUUGCACGACGACUUCCUCGGUAACCGUGGUCUGAUCCCCGACGUUUGAUUCCGGGAUUGGGACUUCAACUAUCUCUGUCUCUCCUUCAAUGACAGCGAGGCGAGGUCGGAUGCGGCGGCGGACCUGUCAAAUACAAAGUUAGCAAAUCGUUUGUUGGCUUUAAUGAGUUUGGUUCGAAGAAAGGUCGCUUACCAAAGCGUGCUCUUGCCGAUAUCGUUCAUCCUCUAGCAGCUUUUCUUCGUCCUCGACAGGGCGCUUCCGCGAGCUUUCGCCGCUUAUUGGCCGGGGAAUGACGGGAGCAGUCUCACCGUCAUGGUCUGCCGCGGGCUCCUCUUGAGCAGGUGCUUUCCCUUUGUCUCCGGCACCCUCAGGUCUUCUGACCGAUCUCCGGUGGGGUGCAGACUGUAAAGGUAGAUAGGAGAGUUAGGAGGAAACAUUUUGUUGAAGUGGUAAAGGCGGUAUGGAAUUUACAUAGUUGUUGGUUUACCUCGGGUGCGGGAUCGCGUUCUCGGAUGACGAUCCCGGUCGAGCGGCGAAUAGCAGGAACUGGUGGGAGUGCAAGCCUAGACCCUGUCGCAGCCUUUGGACUGCUCUCUUCCCGGUAGCGCUGGGCAUCAAGAAUGACGGGGUCUGACUCGCCCAGAGUGUCGUAUAGAGGAUAAAAGAUGGCAGCAAAGACAACAUCAUCUGGGAACCCCCAAUGGUUGUCGGACAAGGAUCGCCACCAAGAGAGAUAGGCGGGGUCAACGCCCAGUGAAGGCUUAAUCUCGAGCAAGUCAGGAGUGAGAGGGAAAAUGUUCUGCAGCGGGGUGACUCGAUCGGACUCGCCAAUCUUCCUCCAGGAGGUGUACUUGUUCACCGAAUGGAAGAGUGGGUAGGGGACCCCUUGAAAGAAGCCAAGUUGUCUGGCGAAGUGGUUAGGGGCAUACAGCUCGAAGCCUUGUUCAUCCUCGGCGAGCUGAAGGUCACAGCAUGAGGAUGCUCUCAUAAAGACGGUCUUGGCGUCAGAGUCCGAAUCAGAGCGAGGGAAGAAGCCCGUUGAUAAGACUUCAGGGUGACACCGGCGAACCAUCAUAUUUAUGGUGGGAGGCGGUUCGAGUUGGUUGUACAGGAUGGAGAGGCUGGCGAAGAAGGACAGGGGAGUCCGGUUCGCAGCGUUCUUGCACACCGCGAAGCCAAGCAGUUGGUCUUCGGGCAGAAAUUCCAGCGGGGCUCGCCGGAAGAGCGGGAAGUACAGCUGCGUCCAUAAGUCCAGGAUCCACAGAGGGCCAGCAGAGAGAUGGAAGGGUCUUAGGGACAGCAUGUGCAGGGUCCGGUAGAGUGCGCCCAGUACGGGCUGCCCUAGCUCUACUUCGAUCCCAUUGUAGAGUGCCUCGGCCAGCUUUGUCCAUUUCCCUGUAGGCUUAUGAGCACUGCCAUAGAAUAUGAAUUUAUCAAGCCAAUACUCAAGGAAAGCGAUACCUCCUUCGUGUUGUUCUGCAUGGCCAAUGUAGAAUUUCCUCCAUACUCCAUACGAGCUUUUCAGGGCGCGGCGGGCCCCCAGAUUGCAGGAAUGUGUAAACUCGGUCGAUGCAAAGUCGCCUGACGCAUAUGGCUUUGCAUGAAUCUGCAGUCCUAUGAUGGUGAGGAUGUCCAGCAGUGAGAUACUCAUUUGCCCGAAGAGGAAAUCGAAGGUGUUGGUGGCGCUGUUCCAUAAGCAGGCCGCGGCAGCAAUGGGUGCUCGAUCAGCAUGAGGAGGCAGCGAGAAACUCAAGGCAAUGGCUUCGUUGAUGCCGGUUGCUUCCUAGAUCGCUUAAUCGGUCUAGAGGCGAGCUGUGUACCAUGCCCGGUCCUGCGCGGUGACGCUGGGCCAUUCCCCGACCCGGAUAUUUAUAUGAGCGGGCUUGUUGAAACCAGGAGGCGAAGUUUCCCGGUUCGCGACGCUGGACAAGGAUUGGCCGGCGCAUGGAGUCGGUGUAGUGGUUCAGAUCAGCGGCGGACGGAGGUUGUGAAGGGAUCGGACCGAGUAGGGCUGCCCCUGUUUCAAGGAAAUAAAUGGGUGUUCUUUGAGGAGGGUUGUUGGCAAAACGGCGAGCGAGGCCGGUCGACCAAGAGCUCGCCGCCGUGAGGUUAAGGUUUGGAUCGUUAGCAGUUGGUUUGGGAGCCAUUGUUUCUGGGCGGAGUGAGUCCGGUGGUGAAGUUCUGUUGGUUGCAGAAGAAAGGGAAAAGCUUGGUUGGAAAGCGAUGGUGAGAUGUGGGGACCCGCAUCGAGGUUUAUAAAGGAGACGGACCGUAACGUCUUUUCAAUCAGUAGCCGUAACGAGGAGACGCGAUGACGACCGAAACGUCAGCACGUUUCAAAUUUCAAACAGUCGCAAUGAUGAAGGGAGGCGACGAUGCCGAAACGUCAGUACCUUUUGAAUUGCGGAUUCCCGUAAAGUGCUCAUUAAGGCCUUUUCGCUUAUCCGUUGCGAAGUGGAUUAAGCUCAAGGCCUAGGGGGCAAUGUUUAAGCCCAGUGGGUAUUAUUUGGUCCAAGACUCGGGGUACGUUUUGGAUAACACUUGGGCCAGUACCUGUGGCCCUUUUUUAAUGCGAAGCCCACGAAAGGUGGCGAAGUCUAGCAACACGCAAGCUGGAGUUUUGUAAGGAUUCCGAUACCCCGCGGGAUUCGAUGUCCUCGCGGGAUCCUUUGUUCCAGGUCGUGUAGGAUUCUACAGUGCAUAGCGAGGUAGAGUUGGAAAUGGACUGUGGUACUCCGCGGGAUAGGAUCGCUUAAUGUUCGAGUUCGCGUACGAGGCUACAGUGAGAUGAUGCGGGGCGGUGAGCGAGACCUAGGCCAGGUCUGUUCUGGACACGUGUUGCACGGAUCGCGCGGCUCGCGAGCUGGUCGUAUCCUUGUGGAAUUCUAAUUGCUGAGUCCGAACGGGUUAUGAUUAGGUCUCUGCGAAUUGCUUGCGGAUCGCUAUAUAAGGGAGCUCGACACAAACAAAGAAAGGACAAGCAAUCAUACAAAAAACAAUUACAAAUCCUCGAGCAUCCUCGAAACCCUAAGUUCUAAGUGCACUUCGCCUUAGUUCUCAGACUCCCUCCUGAUUCGCCUUUUUUCCCUAUUUGUUGCUCUGCUCACCCUAGCAGUGAGUAUCGAUUCACAGGUGACAAGAGAUCUUACUUGUAAUCCCUCAUCCGUGAGGUGGCACCGGUAACCCCCUCUUCGCUUGUUUAGAAGUCUAGCCGCAGCGCAUUCCUUUCCUCGCCCGCGAGGUGGCACGCCCCGCAAUCUCCUUCUCUUUACUUUUGAGUCACCGGAGUUCCGACUCUGCCCCUGCUGAGACGCGUGGCCAAAACAAGCUGAUUAAGAUAAGCCAAAAACGGAGAAUCUCAACAAUUUUCUUUUUUAUUAUCAUUUUUUUUUUGGAAAAAUGCCCAUUUAGUACUAAUUUAAACUCCUCAUUUUCCAUUCCAAUGACAAUCUUUUUCAUUAGCCCAUUCCAAUAUAAGGUAACAUUUUUUAUGCCCAAAUGCACAAAUCUUUAUUAAAAUCUUAACAAACCAUAUUAUUUUAAGACUAUUUUACCCUCACCCCUUAAACAUGCAUAGAGAGAGAAAAUGGAAGAGAGAAUACUUGGCCGGAAUCUCACCAGACUCCGGUCACCGGCCGCGGGACUCCGGUAUCCAGCCAUCGGAAUCCGGUCACCGGCCGCCGGAUUUCUCUGGUCGCCGGAUUCCGGUUACCGGUGACUCAGUUACUAACCUCCAAUAAUCGGUUAUUGACCCCCAAUAAUUGAGUACUGACCCCCAAUAAUCAGUUACUGACCCCCAAUAAUUAGGUUACUAACCCCUAAUAAUCAGUUACUGAUCCCUAAUAAUCGGGUACUGACCCCCAAUAAUCAACUGAUUCCAGCUUAGUUUAAUAGAAAAGAAGAAAUAUCAUAAUAUAAUCAAGUUACUGAACCAAUCUCAAGCCCCAAUUUCAGCAUACGCCACUAGCGCAACCUGGUCAGGUUCCACAUUUGCCCUCCUCAUCUCCCUAGAAACUUUUAACCUCGAGACUUCUCCAUAGAAAUGUCAAAAUUCCUCAUCAAUGAUAUCAUAUACUCUGCGUUCCACAAUAUAUACCUAAAAUCAAAAUCCCAAUCCAUUUCAAUUCAAUCAAUUUUGGAUUCAAAAUCUUCAAAAUUUGGAAAUGAAGUCGGAAAUAUCAAUUACCCGCUGACCUUUCAAUUAAUGGAUAUUUCGGUUGGUUCGGUACUCAACAACCAGGCACCCUCCACGCUUCCUUAACAACAGCUUGGCAACCUUCUCAGCAGCCAGGGAGCUCUGCAAACCCUAAUCGUGACUGAGAACUGAUUGGACAAGCAUGAACAUCGGGUGGCACCGGCGGGCACAAGCUAGAGGCGGAGGCCGACGAGGCAGAGCUUGCUUGGAGACUGUUGAGAUGGCGACGACGUUUGGCGAGCGGCACAGUGUUUUGGAUCUGCUGCCGAGGUCGGAUGAGGGGGCUCGUUAAUGACUCUAAGACUCCUAUUAGUUACUAUUGAUGCCAUGAAGAUACAAGAAAUCAAUCAUCAAGAUAGAAAAACCCCUUUUAAUAGCUGACCUUGUAAUCGACAAACCCCUUUUAAAACCAAAUUAAAAUACCUACUUAUAGUCUCUCCCGAGCGGUGGAAUCGAUCUUGUAUUGUGCGGUUCUUAACAUGGUGAGCAAGAAUAUAUAGAAAAAUACACAUUUGCUCCUCUACUAGGACUGAACCAUCAUUAGUCAACCCCCCAUCAUGACGAAGUAAUUCACAUAACAAGUGAAAUGCCCUCCUAUCCAUCCGGAGUUCAUUUAUACAUGUUGUGUCACUUGUAUUUAUGAACUUAUCUAGAAGACUAAAACGAGUAUCAUGCCUAACAAGUGUUUGAUCACCUAAAACCCUUCUUCUUUUCCGGGAUCUAUGCAUCACAACACAUAAAUACACAAACAUCAUUGUGCCUAUCAUUUGUUUCUGUAUAUGCAGCUGCCUUACCAACAAAAACAUCCAAAUUCUCCUUCCAUCAUGUAAUCAUUAAAAACAUGCCAAAAAGAAAAGGAACGGAUAUAAGUAUGUUACAGACUAAUCUAGACAUAAAAAAAUUGACAUUGAAACCAAAUCAGACACCACUGAAUAUAAAAUAUACAUAUAUGAAUAUGAUAUAUAUAUAUACAGAUUUUCUCAGGUGCGAACGUUCGCACCAAAGUUUUGAUGCGGAUUUCCAUUUUUUCACCACUUCCCGAUCGAAUUUCCUCAAACUUCCUUCUAGACAUAUCUAGAUCAUCUUGUGUAGAUCAUCUCUGCAAAAUUUCAGCCAAUUUGGUGAUCGUUAAGGCCCUCAAAAUCGAAAAACAAAUCUGACGGACUGAAUUCUGUCCGGUUCAGGUAUAUAACAGAAAAACGCAAGUUUGAGGGCCUUAACGAUCACCAAAUUGGCUGAAAUUUUGCAGAAAUGAUCUACACAAUAUGAUCUAGAUAUGUCUAGAAGGAAGUUUGAGGAAAUUCGAUCGGGAAGUGGUGCAAAAAUAGAAAUCCGCACCAAAAACUUUGGUGCGAACGUCCGCAGCCAAGAAUGGCUAUAUAUAUCUAUGUAUAGUUUGAGAGAGAGAAUUACCAGAAAGUACAUCAUUAGUUACACCAUGCCAUUGCACCAAACCCUGCAUCCAACAGAUACAUCAUUAUAAACAACCAAAAUAAGCGUCAGACUUAUAUAUGCCUAUCAAAGUGAACACAAAUGAAGCACUAAUCCAUACAAAUAACACUUUGGUCCCAAUUUGAUCAUAGUGUAACCAAAAGACAGCUUAUAAUCCCACUUUUCUCUUUUCUCUUUAUACUAAUUAGUUAUUCAAGUUAAAGACAAAAAGCAAAGAAGAGCCGAUUCUUCUGCUUUUUUCUCUAGAUAUCAUAAACCAAACAAAAAUAUCAUCCAUAAAAACAAUUGAGAAAGAGAGCUCACCAGAAGAUAAACGGAUACGUGAUGCCAUGAGCCCAGAUCUGUAAACAAUAGAACACAAAUCGAAUUAUUCAAAUAUUCAUAUUACCCAUGAAUUAAAUUCCACAAUACAACAUCAAAUUUGAGAGAAAGAUUCAUUGCGUAGGACUGAAGUUGAAUCUCAUAUAGCUACAAAUCAAAAACCACAAACAUGAGUUAGCUCUGAUGAAAGCUUACCCGAAAAACAAUUCCACGAGAUCAGCAACGGUUGAAAUCGGAGGCCGUCGAAAACGAUCACUGGAAAUUUAAUGGAGCAGGUACGAUGAUGAGAUGGUCGUAGAUUCGCAGAGGAAGAGAAGCUACGGUAGUUUCGGCUUUUGUCGAACGAAGCUGGAUUAUUUUUAUAGCAAAUCACAUAUACAUCCUCCAAAAGGAUUUGAAACACAAAUAAAUCCACUUGUGUUGUUGUUAAACAAAUAAGGACAGUUUUUAACAAUUAAAGACAAUCUUUUCUCUACAUUUCAUGUGUCAUGAUUUAAUUUACCAAACUAACCUUAUACUAAUUAAAUAUACUUUUAGAAGAGAAAAGUCUCUUAUUUUGAGAUUUUUCAGUAAAUGGAAUACAGUAGCAGAUUUUCAAUAAUUUAGUGUAGUAGCAGUUAAUUUCAGUAGAAGUAGUAGCAGGGGUUAACAUUCCAGUAGAAGUAGUAGCAGGGGUAACAUCCUAGUAGACAGGGGUAACAUCCUAGUAGAUUUAGUAGCAGGGGUUAACAUCCCAAUAGUAGUAGCAGUUAAUUCUAGUAGAAGUAGUAGCAUGGGUUAAUAUUCCAAUAGAAAAGUAGUAGCAGAGGUUAACAUCUCAGUAGAAGUAGUUGCAGGUUUUCAGUAGCUCAGCUAAUGUAGUAGCAUGUUUUGUUGGAAAGCUACACUUCUAACAGAUGUAAUAGCAGAGUUUUAGUGGUUCAGCUAGUGUACGUAGUAGCAGCUUCAGUAAGUGCAGUAGUAGCUUCAGUAAGUACAGUAGCAAGUUUUCAGUGGCUCAGCUAAUGUAGUAGCAUGUUUUGCUGGAAAGCUACACUUCCAACAGAUGUAGUAGCAGAGUUUUAGUUGUUUAGCUAGUGUAGUAGCAGCUUCAGUAAGUGCAGUAGCAUGUUUUCAGUGUCUCAGCUAAUGUAGUAGCAUAUUUUGUUGAAAAGCUAUACUUCUAACAGAUGUAAUAGCAGGGUUUUAAUGGUUCAGCUAGUGUAGUAGCAGCUUCAGUAAGUGUAGUAGCAGGUUUCAGUGGUUCAGCAAAUGUAGUAGCAGCUUCAAUAACAGCUUCAAUUAGUGCAGUAGCAGCAAAUGUAGUAGUAGUAGUUAUUUUCAGUACGUGCAGUAGCAGGUUUUGAGUACCACAACUGCAAUUGGAUGUCUUUUUUCUCAAGAAAAAGACUUUACUCUUAUUUGAGGAUUUUAAUAUAUCGGCAUAGUCUCCGUGAUGUUUAUUUAAGUCUCAUAAACAUAUUCAUUCUUUUUCUUUUUUAAUUAUGCUUUCUGCAAAAAGAAGAAGUGCAGAGCAGUCAUGGUCUCGGCUNNNNNNNNNNNNNNNNNNNNNNNNNNNNNNNNNNNNNNNNNNNNNNNNNNNNNNNNNNNNNNNNNNNNNNNNNNNNNNNNNNNNNNNNNNNNNNNNNNNNNNNNNNNNNNNNNNNNNNNNNNNNNNNNNNNNNNNNNNNNNNNNNNNNNNNNNNNNNNNNNNNNNNNNNNNNNNNNNNNNNNNNNNNNNNNNNNNNNNNNNNNNNNNNNNNNNNNNNNNNNNNNNNNNNNNNNNNNNNNNNNNNNNNNNNNNNNNNNNNNNNNNNNNNNNNNNNNNNNNNNNNNNNNNNNNNNNNNNNNNNNNNNNNNNNNNNNNNNNNNNNNNNNNNNNNNNNNNNNNNNNNNNNNNNNNNNNNNNNNNNNNNNNNNNNNNNNNNNNNNNNNNNNNNNNNNNNNNNNNNNNNNNNNNNNNNNNNNNNNNNNNNNNNNNNNNNNNNNNNNNNNNNNNNNNNNNNNNNNNNNNNNNNNNNNNNNNNNNNNNNNNNNNNNNNNNNNNNNNNNNNNNNNNNNNNNNNNNNNNNNNNNNNNNNNNNNNNNNNNNNNNNNNNNNNNNNNNNNNNNNNNNNNNNNNNNNNNNNNNNNNNNNNNNNNNNNNNNNNNNNNNNNNNNNNNNNNNNNNNNNNNNNNNNNNNNNNNNNNNNNNNNNNNNNNNNNNNNNNNNNNNNNNNNNNNNNNNNNNNNNNNNNNNNNNNNNNNNNNNNNNNNNNNNNNNNNNNNNNNNNNNNNNNNNNNNNNNNNNNNNNNNNNNNNNNNNNNNNNNNNNNNNNNNNNNNNNNNNNNNNNNNNNNNNNNNNNNNNNNNNNNNNNNNNNNNNNNNNNNNNNNNNNNNNNNNNNNNNNNNNNNNNNNNNNNNNNNNNNNNNNNNNNNNNNNNNNNNNNNNNNNNNNNNNNNNNNNNNNNNNNNNNNNNNNNNNNNNNNNNNNNNNNNNNNNNNNNNNNNNNNNNNNNNNNNNNNNNNNNNNNNNNNNNNNNNNNNGAGAGAGAGAGAGGGUUUUAAGAGAGAAUUAAUGAUGGUAAAUCAUGUAAUUUUGUUUAUAAACUGGAUAUUUUGGUCAUUUCACGAUGAAAAUUGCAGUCAACAUCUGGUAUCAUUGACUUUGGGCAUGGACUUAUGUCCUUAUUUGUUUAAAUCUGUUGAAAUGUGGUUUUUCUGUUUUAUGCAACUGUUUAGGGUAGUGAGAUGUCAUUUUCUAUUAUUUUUAUAACACCUUCUUAACUGGAUUUGUAAUCCAUGUUGUACAGGAAUUAAAUUUUCCGACCCAACCAUGAUGUCUGGGCCUCCAAACAUGCCAUGUAGCCAGAUUGGAAUAUUUUAAUGAAGUCCGUGUCUUAUAUCCGGUGUAACAAACGCCUCCAAAACCGUAAAACUAUAAGACCGUCUACAUUAUUAAAAGAGACUUCAAAACUACAGUAACUACUAGGCUCCCGGAUUCGAGUGCCCAAGUAAAGCCCAAAACAAAAGCCCACAGCCCAUGGAAAACCCUAGCCAUCAUAGAAACAAGCUGAGAUCAGCCAGGUUCUGUGUUGUGGUAUACAUUAUAAAUAAGCUUGAGAUUCUUGUUCUGAGGGCAAGGCAGGUGUUGAGUUCGUGGUUCUUGAACAAUCCAAAGCAAACUGUAGUCUCGGCUUCUUCUUCUUCUUGUAUGACCAAAAUACCUGAAUUUGGAACCUCUGGAGGUGCCAAAGAGAGCAUGGAAGGUACUUACUGGUACAUAGAGUGAUAGAAAGAGGCAUAUGUGCCCUUGUCACAUACAUCUUCUCUGUAAGUGCCUUAAUCCUUGUUGCAGUCUAUUCAUCACAUCAGCAAAUCAACUUUCAUGGAUUUGCAAAGGUACACAUGUAAAUCACCUUUCUCCAAUCAAUAGCUCUAUGCUGGAAUAUUAUUCAAUUUUAAUGUCUGUUUAUGUAUGCUAUUCAUCAAAGCCAAGAACUCAACAAUUGGAAGCAUAAUAACGAGGACAGUUUAGUUCUUUACAUUGGAAAGCUUCAAUUGAUUUAAAACCCUUACAAUUUCAAUCAAACUAAACACACCCUUGAAAAGACAAUGUUCAUAAUAUGAAAGAAUAUACUUCAAUACAUGGACUACAACUAAGCUAUCCUCCAAGCAUGGAUUAAUACAUAAUUAAUUGUGCAAACAAAAGAAUAUAUAUAUAAUAUCUCACUCCCAUUUGCUCCUAAUGUGAUUAGUGUGUCUGAAACCCAAAGUUAGUACCAAGCUUCCAUCCAUUCUUUUCAAUACAAACCUCUCCCCCAACACAUAGCAACCAAAUUUCUUCCACCUUCCCAUACCCCCAAACUCCUCUACUAUCUUCACUCUCACUUUCCUCUCAUUCCCUCCAUUCCAUCCAAACCUUUGUUGCUCCCACUUCACCCUCUCUAAAACCGCUAAGCUCACCCCUACAGUGCUCUCUCCUCCAACUUUGUUAAAAACCCUAUACCACAUUACCCCAUUAGCCACAUCCUUCUCCUCAUUCACUGCUUCCACAUUAUUUCCAGCAAUGGUAACAAAUUCAUUUUCAACAGAAACAUCGACAACCACAGCAUUAUUUUCCUCACUUGCAUCACUGUCACAUGCAAAUAUUUGCUCCCAUCUUUGCUCGAGUGUCAUCUCAUAAUACCUUGUGCAGCUCAUUUGAUCUUUCAGUGUUAGUGAUCCUUCCUUAACAAACAUGAAGGGACAAUACCACUUCCCCACAACCACAGGCUUUGAGCCUGCACUCGAUACUUCAAAGUUGAAAUCGGGUAGGCGGGCACGUAGUGCAGAGUCUAGACCUGGUGCUUCAUCUAAAUGGAAGUCACGUGGAGUUGAGGUAUAUAUGUCCCACCCUAUUCUUGCAAGAAAUUUUGGAGGAAACUCAUCCGAAGCUAUGGCUUUGGCAACAAAACCACCAAUUUGGUUAAAUCUCCCUUUGCGUUGGACCUGAAAUUGCUGUCGUAUGUUAUUAUGAUUUAAGGGUUGUGGUGCUACAUCUCGAUCUGCUCGAACAUAAGUGUGGAAGCAGCAGGUUCCCAUGUCCUCCUCCUCUGGCGAACUGGUGUAUGCUUGUCUAGGAAGAACAAUUCAAGAAUAAAAAGUCAGCUCAUUAGAAAAAUUAAUGGUUAACUAUAAGAGUAACGCUAGGAAGACCGCAUUUAAAACCGUAUUAGUGACCAAUUGAUAAUUUACACACAGAAACAUGCUAUAUCUUGAGCCUCAUCUGUUUAAAAACCAAAAAAAUAAGUCAGUUUGAUCAUCCUUACCCCAUAUUAUCCCCGCGAGAUGAAAUUGCAUAAUAGCAAUUGGAUGCCAGAGGCUGGUUAAGGACUGGAAUGAGGGCAGUGUAGAAAUAUUAAACGGAUGUGUUCUCUCCUGCGCCUGAUGAAUAACGUAGCUUCAGAUUCUUAUUCUGAGGGAAAGGAAGGUCCUUGAGCUCAUGGCCUUUAAACAAUCCACAGCAAAUUGUAGGCUCUGAUUCUUCAUCUUGAAUAACCAAAAUACCGGAAUUUGGACCUUCCGGAGGUGGCAAAGAGAGCAUGGAAGGGUUCUUCUGGAACACAGAGAGAGGCCUUGUCACAUACAUUUUCUCUCUAAAUCUCUUUGCUCAGCUAUUUUUGUGUUGGAGUUUUGGGUACGAGGAUCAUAUGAACUUUGAGCCACUUAUAUAUGACAGAAGUUCUCAACUUAAUGUAGUCAAUUUGGACAAGUAAUGGGGAUUCAUUGGAUGCUAGUCAUGAUACAAAUCAAACUUUUCACUAUUAUUACUAUGAAUAGUCUUCUUUUGACAAAGACUAAUGUUAAGAAUCUGGAGAGCAUAGAUUGCUUUCGAGUUGAGAUAUUUUAUAUAACUUAUCUACAAGUAGUAUAGGGAUGAAGGUGACAUAUUACAUGCUCUAUAAGCUAAGAAGAAAUUGAGAAGAAUUUGACUCAGUUUUGAUUGAGUUUUAAUUUUAUCAUGUUUCUUUGGGAUCACCAAUAGGUUGAUUAAUGAUUAACCAAUUCAACUAAGAAUCAGUCCACUUUUAUGUUACUUCAGUCAAAGCCUUGAUAUGUAAGCCUUCUCAAUAUGAAGGAGGAUGUAAACAAAUUGGUGAAGUCUCAGAAAUUCAGAAUAUCCUUAUUCUGGUGUUUCUUGAUUCAAAAGUUAACACCUUCAUGAAUCAGAGAGCAACUUAGAAAGGUCUGUAAACAACAAGAAUUUUCAGAAAAGUCAGAUCUGCAAACCUUAUCAUUGAUUCAAGUGUUUGGAAUAACCCCCACAUAUAACAAAAAACUCAACAAAAUCAACAAAGCUGAAUAAAAAAAUGAUUUGUGAAAGAUUGGUGGUCACAAACUACAUAGAUGUACUAUAGUAGACUACGGUUAUAUAUUUCAAACCAUGUCAUAUAUACAGAUUUUUCCCACACUAAAUAUUAAAAGUUUGUCAUUCCCAUUUGCAACUGAUCUGGUGAGUGUGCUUGAAAUCAUAUGUCAAUAGUGCUAAGCUUCCAUCCAUUCUCUUCAACACAAACCUCUCCACCAACACAUAACAAGCAAAUCUAUUCCAACCACCAAUUCCUCCAAACUUUUCACUUCUCUCCACUCUCACUUUUCUUUUCUCCCCAUCAACCCAUCCAACUCUUUCUUGCUCCCAUUUCAUUCUCUCCACAAUUUUCAUGCUCAACCCUACUCUCCUUUCUCCUCCCGCCCCAUCAGAACUCUUAAACCACAUGAAACCAUCAUCGGCGACAUUAAAUCUGUCAAGAUUAUCUGAAAGUGCUUCACUUCCAGCAAUAAAAACCGCCUCUCUUUGCACAAAUGUAUCCACAAACACAGCAUUAGGAUUGCUGCUUGUUCCCUCAUUGUACUUGUCUAAAAUUCUCUCCCAUCUUUGCUCCAGUCUCAUUUCAUAGAACAUGCAUUGCUUCAUUUGGUGCUUCAACUUCAUUCCCCCUUCCUUGAUAAACAAGAAAGGACAGUACCACUUGCCAACUACCAUAGCCUCAGAACAAUCUUUGGACAAUGGAAAGUCGAAUCCAGGGAGGGCUGAUCGCUUAGAAGCGUCGAGUCCUAGAGCUUCACCUAGUUGGUAAUGAUGGGAUGUGCUCAUAGUGGCCGGCCAACCUUUUCUCCUCAAAAAAUAAGGAGGAACGCCGUCUGAAGCAACAGCUUUUGGCAGUAAAGUAACCGCGGUGCUUCAUUGGAAUUAUCUCAAUUUGUUGAUACAUGUCUGAUGGAUCCAAUGGCUUUGGUUUUACAUCUUGAACAGUUUUGCCACAACAGCAAUCUGUCAUGUCCUCUUCCUUUGAAUUUGUGUACACUUUCCUGCAGAUAAAUUUGUGACCAUUAUUAUAAAAGAAUAUUAUGUUCAUAUAUGGACAUCAAUAUGAAAAGCAUUAUAUUUAUACCCUUUGUGUUUCCCAUGCCGGGGUAUCACAUAGUAUGUACUGGCAGACAAAGGCUUAUCAAGAACUGGAAUGAAGGCAACAUAAAUAUGAAUAUCUUUGGAAUGUGAAAUUAUGAUAUCCUUGUUCUGAGGGAAAGGCAAGGCUUUCACCUCAGGAUCUUUGCAGCAUCCAAAACACAUAGUCUCAUCUGAUUCUUGAUCGUGGAGUACAAGAUAACCUGAAUUUGGACCUUCCGGUGUUGGUAGUGAUAGUGAAUCAGGAAACCUUCUACACAUAGACAGAGGCCUAGUUACAUACAUGACUGUUUAGUCUGUUGUUUUUUUUUCUCCAAAAGAUUGUGGAAGAAGAUAGUGGAUAGAAAUGGGAGGCUACUGAAUCUCUAUAUAUUAAGCGGAUAGAGGGACUACUGUUCCCUCCCCAUCUUGCCCCUCAUGUUGUGUUUUUUUAACGUCCAGCCCAUCCACACUGAAUUCACUCUUCUUUUAUCCUUGGUUGUUAUCUUCUUCUCUAUUGUUUUUUUAUUUUUUUUAGAAUUUUCUAAUCGACAGAUGGUUCCGGCUAUUUUCCCACCAUGAAGCGUCGUCGGGACGACCGAUCAGGUCGGAACCGAAGGCCCAAGCAUCAGCUUUAAGGCCGUCAUCCUGCCCAAAGCCGCCUUCGAAAUAGCUGAUAUCAUACUUGUAUGUAAGUCUCAUUUUCACUUUGGUUAGAAAGAAUAGCCGUAGGAAUAUCCAAAAAUUGUGCAACUACUGAAGCAAAUUUUAGUGUGAAAUUCAGGUGUUACCAUAUAAUUUUGUAUCUUUAAAUUUUGCUGGCUGCAUGUGUCUCUUUGUCUAUGAGAGGAUGGAUAUUUGUCUUAUUUUUGAACAGGUACUUCACAUAUUUGAUUUUGUGGGCUUCUAGGUUUUAUGAGGUUAUUGUGAUUGAGAUUAACUUAAGAGCUGUAUGAUGAUCUAUUUUGUUGAAUGGUAUUAUUAAUUAUAGAGGAUAUGUGUUUUGACCAAAUCAAUUAAUUGAGAUUGAGGUUCGGUAUCUACAAACUCAGGAAACUAGAUUGUUAUUCCCAAUUUUGUCUUUUUUUUUGUGUGUGUGUGUGUGUGCAGAAGCUUGAGGAUCAUGUGACCAUUAUAAGCUCAAAAGAUAGUGAUAAUGGAAUAACUGAUGCAGAGAAUGCACGGCAGCUACGGUUGGCUUAAUUUUGAAGGUGAUAAGCCAUUUUAGUUUUCGUUAUCAAGUUGUUAUGCUACAAUUCACAGUAUGAAAUCACAAUUGUAAAAUAUGCUUCUGGAUAAUAAUUAUUGAACUUGAAUUAUCGCAUUUUUUAUGCUACAGAAGACUGCAAACAACUUAUUGGAAUAGAAAAUAAAGGUUCUCCAUUCCUUUAAAACAUACGGUAGAACUUCGAAGCAUGCCGAUGCAUGCAGGUGUGUUCUUAAAUAUAUUCUACCUAAUACUUUUACUUCAUAUGGUAGUUUGAAGUCAUUACAUCAUUUAGAUUUAGAUUACAAUUCUCCUCUUUUCCUCUUUAUUUGCCUCUGAUGUUCGUAUCUGUUCAAUUCCUUCUAUCAUCAAGGUGACUCACUAAAUGGACCUUUUGUUUCAUAACAAAAUCCUAUUAAAACAAUCUCAAAUGUUCAAUCAUCUGUUACUAACUACUAUACAAAUCUUAAUUUUUAACUUUCAGAAUUGCAACAAGAAAAGUAAUGGCUAAACCCAAGCAAGACUCUUGCGGAAAGAGUAAGCAUUGAAACCCUUAUUUUUUUAAUUUUUUUACUUUCAACUAGAUAUACCUUAGUUUUUCAUUAUAGCCUAUUCUCUGAAUUUUGAUGUUAAAUUGACACAAGGGUAGAAAGAAAAAGCAGGAACAAAUCCAAACAAGACUGGAAUAGGCACACAUGAUCCCUUUUUUCAAUUAUGGUGACAUUAAAUUGCUAGCAGCUCGAUUAACACAGAUGUUGUUAAUCUAGCUUUCUAACUUAAUGGCUCCGGAAUUUAUUGAGAUCAUUAUAAGCUCUUCUUCCCAAUUGAUUUUAUGUGGUGGAAUAGCUGCCCGCUGAAAUUAGAAAUGAGGGUAGGAAUAUGUGCCUAAUAACCUAACCCUUCGCUCAUUAGUCAACAAUUUGCCUUGAGUAAGCAACCAGGUAAAGGUUUUUCACUUAGGUGGUAGUACUUUAAUACUGAUAAUCCCAUAAGGUACUUAUGAUACUCUAUAAGUAAACCUUUGGCAGCUUUUGUUUAGUGGGUGACCAAAGAGCUUGAAAAUUUAGCUUCAGAUGAUGAACUUGAGGAAGAGAUUGGUUGACUAUGGUUGUGUUUGAUUGCUCUAAGUUUUGGAAUGCAAACAAGGUUGCAAAUACAUGGAGAAAUUUUGUAACUGAGAUUUUAAAUGUAAAUGCUUAAUGCUCAAUGGGUUGCAUUUGCUUAAUGCUACUAGAUUUUCCUUUUCUUUUGAUUGUUUUGUAAUCUGUAAUCUAUACUUUGAAGGUUCUUAUACACGUUCAUGUGAAUUAUUGUCUAUUUUAAUAUGAGUUUGUGAGUGUUGUUAUGAUAUCAGACCGGAAAAUAAAUUCUCAAAGUUGUAUCUAAAACAACAGUUAAUACAUGGCCGCGUGCUGGAAGGCUAGUAUAAAUUGGCUGGAUGAUUUUCUUGAUUACAUAUAGUAGUAUCUCUUUGUGUAGAAUUCAUUCAUGAACUCAAUCAAACACUGAGGUUCAUAGUUUUCGUGCAUUGUCCUGUAAAAUUGUAUUAAUUCUCUAAGCUGACAGCUAUUAUUUGUUCAUCAUGCCAUAAUCCUCUACUGAUCAACAAGUCAUCCGUCUGACUUUCGGUUUGUGGUUACCAAGGGCCAAGUAUAAAACUAAAACAAUUUAAAGUCCUUAAUUUAGACUGUAACAAUCAAAUUAUCAAAUCAAAUUCUACCGAUACUUUAAGAAAGAAGCUAGUCAGAGUUUGUAGCAAAUGCAAGGAAGGUUCAUACUGUUCAAUCUCUCUAUGGUGGAAAAGUUUUCAAGUUUAAACUCAUUCUUUUGAGAAAAAAAAAAAAUGAAUGUUAACACUUUCUGACAAGGGAAAUACUUCAAUACAUGAAUUUGAACUACAGUAUAUGUAUAUGCUAUAUAUUUACAUAAGCAUUGCUGAAUUUCAGUUACAGUACAAAAUGGAUUUUGUUUCACACCCAUUUGCUCCUAAUGUGAUUAGUGUGUCUGAAACCAUAACUUAGUACCAAUCUUCCAUCCAUUCUUUUCAACACAAACCUCUCCCCCAACACAUAGCAAUCAAAUUUCUUCCACCUUCCCAUACCCCCAAACUCCUCUACUUUCUUCACACUCACUUUCCUGUCAUUCCCUCCAUUCCAUCCAAACCUUUGUUGCUCCCACUUCACCCUCUCUAAAACCGCUAAGCUCACCCCUACAGUGCUCUCUCCUCCAACUUUGUUAAAAACCCUAUACCACAUUACCCCAUUAGCCACAUCCUUCUCCUCAUUCACUGCUUCCACAUUAUUUCCAGCAAUGGUAACAAAUUCAUUUUCAACAGAAACAUCGACAACCACAGCAUUAUUUUCCUCACUUGCAUCACUGUCACAUGCAAAUAUUUGCUCCCAUCUUUGCUCGAGUGUCAUCUCAUAAUACCUUGUGCAGCUCAUUUGAUCUUUCAGUGUUAGUGAUCCUUCCUUAACAAACAUGAAGGGACAGUACCACUUCCCCACAACUACAGGCUUUGAGCUUGUAUUCGAUACUUCAAAGUUGAAAUCCGGUAGGCGGGCACGUAGUGCAGAGUCUAGACCUGGUGCUUCAUCUAAAUGGAAGUCACGUGGAGUUGAGGUAUAUAUCUCCCACCCUUUUCUUCCAAGAAACUUUGGAGGAAACUCAUCCGAAGCUAUGGCUUUGGCAACAAAACCACCACAUUGGUUAAAUCUCCCCUUGCGUUGGAUCUGAAAUUGCUGUCGUAUGUUACUAGGAUUUAAGGGUUGUGGUGGUAAAUCUCGGACAUAGGUGCAGAAGCAGCAGGUUCCCAAAUCCUCCUCUGUCGAACUGGUGUAUGCUUGUCUAGAAAGACAAUGCAAAAAAUAAAAAUGUCAGUUCAUUAAAAAAAUUGGUGAACUAUAAGAGUAACGCUAAGAGGAUCACAUUUUAAGACUGCAUUAGUGACGAGUUGAUAAUUUACACAUGCUGCAAAAUGUGAUCUCUAUAGCAUUAUCUGUUUAUAAACCAUAAAACCAAGUACAGUUUGAGAUAACUUUCAUACCCCAUAUGAUUUCCGCGCGAUGAAAUUGCAUAAUAGCAAUUGGAUGCCAGAGGCUGGUUAACGACUGGAAUGAAGGCUGUGUAGAAAUAUGAAACGUGUGUGCUCUCUCCUGUGCUUGUGGAAUACCGCAGCUUCAGAUUCUUGUUCUGAGGGAAAGGGAGGUCUUUGAGCUCAUGACCUUUAAACAAUCCAAAGCAAAUUGUAGGCUCUGAUUCUUCAUCUUGUAUAACCAAAAUACCGGAAUUCGGACCCUCUGGAGGUGACAAAGAGAGCAUGGAAGGGUUCUUCUGGUACAUCGAAAGAGGCCUUGUCACAUACAUUUUCUCUCUAAAUCUCUUUGCUCAGCUAUUUUUGUGUUGUACUUUUGGGUAGGAGGAUCAAAUGAACUUUGAGCUACUUAUAUAUGAUGAAGUUCUCAACUUAACGUAGACAAUUUGGACAAGUAAUGGUGAUUCAUUGGAAGCUACAAAUCAAACUUUUUACAAUAUUAUUAAGAAUCGUUUUCUUUUGACAAAGACUAUUGUUAAGAAUCUGGAGAACAUAGAUUGGUUUAGUGUUGAGAUAAUUUAUUUAACUUAUCUACAAGUAGUAUAGAGAUGAAGGUGGAUGCAUCUGCAGGUUCACAUGUGACAUGAGAAUUUACCUUAUAUUUGAUUGAGUUUUAUGUUACUUCAGGCCAUCUGGAAAGUCAAUCCACUGAAAUGGUCAAAGCCUUGAUAUGUAAGCCUUCAGGUACAUAUGAAGGAAGAUCUGGUGUAGACAAAUUGGUCAAGUCUCAGAAAUUCAGAAUAUCCUUAUUCUGGUGUUUCUUGAUUCAAAAGUCUACAAGCAAAGAGCAACUUAGAAAGGUCUGUAAACAAAAAGAAUUUUCGGAAAAGUCUGAUUUGCAGAACUUAUCAUUGAUUCAGGUUUGUGGAAUAAGCCCACAUAUAACAGAACACUGAACAAAUCAACAAAGCUGGAUUAGAAAAUGGUUUGUGAAAUAUUGAUGGUCAAAAACUACAUAGAUGUGUACUAUACUAGACUACAGAUAUUUCGAAUCAUAUCCUAUAUACAGAUUUUAACCAAGAAUCCGGAUACAAUAUUAUGAUUUAUUCCACCCUAAAUAUUACAAAUUUGUCAUUCCCAUUUGCACCUGAUCUGGUGAGUGUUCUUGAAAUCAUAUGUCAAUAGUGAAAUGGUCAGAGCCUUGACUUAUAAGUUUUUAGGAACAUACCAGGAAGAAAGUAGACAGACUCGUCAAAUAUCAGAAUUUCCCUAAACUGGUGUUUCUUGUGUCAAAAGUUUACAGUUUCAUGAAUCUGAUAGUUGCUCAGAAGUUCCAUGAGCAAGAAAAAAUGAUCACAAAUUUGCAAAAUUAUCAUCGAUCUCUCGAUUCAAAUCGGUUAAUUAAACAAAUACAGAAGCAACUUUCCCAGAUAAGAAUUGUACCAAAUGACAAGCUACAUGAUGUUCAUUCCCAUUUACACUUAAUCUGAUGAGUAUGCUUGAACUCAUGGCUAAUUAACAAGCUCCCAUUCAUUCUUUUCAACACAAACUUCUCAACCAAUACAAAACAACCAAACUUCUUCCACUGACCAAUCCCUCCAUAUUCCUCAACUCUCUUCACUCUCACUUUGCCUUCAUCAUCUCCCCCAACCCACCCAACUCUUUCUUGCUCCCACUUCAUCCUCUCAACAAUUGCAAAGCUCAACCCAACUCUUGUUUCUUCACCCACAUUGUUGACACUCUUAAACCACACUACCCCAUCAUCUUCCACAUGUCUCUCAUCACACACACCUUCCCUCCCUCCUACCACAACCACAACCACCUUACUUUGCACAACAGCAUCCACAUUUACAGCAUUGCCUGUAUCAUGUUCCUCAAUACUCUCCUUCACAAAUAUCUGUUCCCAUCUCUGCUCAAGUGUCAUCUGAUAAUACAUUGUCUUGAAAGGUGUGACAUCCUUGACAAACAUGAAUGGACAAUACCACUUCCCUACAACCAGAUUAUUCAAUGGGAAAUCAAAACCAGGAAGCUGGGCUCGGAGAGUCGUGUCUAGCCCUGGUGCAUCACCUAGUUUGAACUCGUUAGCCGUUGAGCAAGUGAGUUUCCACCCUCUUCUCCACAAUGCAUCUGGGGGACAACCAUCUUUAGCCAUACAAGUAGCCACAAAGCCACCAGAAAUGUUCACAAUUUUUCUGUGAAGAUCAAUCUGAUAUUGCUGGUACAGGUUUUUGUGAUCAAAACGUUGCGGCUUUACAUCAUUAGGACAGCUGCUGAAGCAACAUGUGUCCAUGUCUGUUUCAUCUUCUUUUGAGCUUGUGUACCCUUCCCUGCAAAGAGACACGAAAGCCUCGCGGUUCAAAUUCACAAUCUAACAACAUAACAUAACAUAUAUAACUUUCGCAGUUUCUAACAUGUAUAAUAAUAUUUAAGUAUCAAUUGAUAAUAUGCAUGCAUACCCUCUAUCCUUCCCAAAUGGAUAUAUUGCAUAGUACUGAUUGGAAGACAGUGGCUGAUCGAGAACUGGAAUGAAUAGAACUUUGAAAAAAUGAAGUUCUCUUCCUGGAUAAAAUCCUUGUGCAUAGUAAAGCUCUAGACUUUUGUUCUGAGGGAGAGGCAGGUCUUGAAUCAUAUCACUCUUGAACAAAUUCAUACAGCAUCUGGGUUCUUCAUCUUGGAUAACAAGAAUACCAGAGUUUGGACCUUCAGGAGGAGGCAAUGAAAGAUCAGCAGGAUACUUUUUGUACCAUGAGAGAGGCCUUGUCACAUACAUUAUGCCACAGAUUCCUCUCCAAAGAAUGAAAAAAUCUAAUGCUUUCUGGUCUUGGAGGAUCUCAAGCUCUUAAUGCUCAUGAUCAAUAUAGUCUUACAUUUUCAGGAAGUUGAAGUAGUCGGUAGCAGCUCUAGUUGACUAUUGUUGAAAUUAGGUGAUCAAUAAAUUUGCAUUUGGCCUACAGCUGAUAUUGGGGAUAAGAUGCUGAUAUUGGGGAUAAGAUGAUAAGAUGCUGAUAUUGGGGAUAAGAUGCUGAUAAAUAUGUGACUGUGACUUGUGAAGUGAUGACUUGUUCAAUGUUCACUGGAGGCCAAGUCCCUUAUGGAUUGGAAUGCAUAUGAUGUUGAAAUGGUUUCAAGUUCAAAAGAAAUAUCAACAACCUGAGUAAUGGACUGAUGGCUAGGGUCCAGGGAAGAGGAUAAACCCAAAAGUUGUAGCAUGUAUCAAAGACAAUAAUAUCACAUGUAAGGAAUAUAGUUCAAGAUCUACAAGACUUGCUUGCAAAGCAAAGCCCUACAUUCCUACAAAACCCUCUUUAAGUGAAAAUGAAGCAUCACCUAAAGUCCUGUACUCAAAAUUUGUAGCUAGCAGAAAAAGAUGAAACCCUCUCCUUUCUUAGGCCUCCUAGAGUAGCAAAUCCCAUCUAUUAGAUCUUAUAUUCUUUUCUGAAAGAUCUUGUCUUUGGCUACUACCCUUUAAUUAAUUUUAUUGAUAUUGGGGAAAAAGAAAAGAAGGGUUUUGCUCUUUUCUAACUUUAAAACCUCAGACAUAUAUGCAUAGGGUAAUUGCAUUUAAAAAAUGCUAAUGUGAUUCUGUCCUUUUGGCCCUAACAGGUUUAGCCCUGUAUGCAUUCGGAACAGCGCCCUUCAUGUAACUAGUGAGUGACAUACAUAAGAAUCAUACAGUUUGAACUCUAUAUGCAAAAUAAAAUGACAUCAUUUUCUGAGCAAAAUUAUUAUGAUCCUCAUUCCUCAGCACAAUGCUGUUUGCACAAUCAUACCCUAAGCAAAACACUUGAACUCUAUGCAAACAUCCCAGUUAGUAUGAGCUAUUUUGUUUAACAUUUACUAACAGCAACAUAAAUACAAAGAGGAGAGAAACUAGAGAUGCAGUGAUUUGAAUGUGGUAACUAGUGACUAACUACAAAUGCGAAUUAAGACAAGAAAUAACAGACAGAAGAUUUCUGUAAAGCUGAAGAACAGAGAAAUUUGGUCACAUUUUGGCCCAGCAUUUUUCUCAGGUUUUGAACAUCAUAUCUUCUUCAUCUUUCUUCCUCCUAGUACUUGAUCCCCAGCUUGGAUGAUGCCUGAAAAUCCAUUUCCAACCACCCUUCAAGCUUUUCCUUCCCCUCUUUAUCCCUCUCUCAUUCACUGUAAUUCUACAAGAACCACUAUGACUGAAAAUCCCAUCCCCAAAUUGAGCUGGACCAUAUUCAUGUGCCACAAAGUCACUACCCCUCAUGCUUCCGAACAAGGAUUCCGAACCUGUCAAGCUUCCCAUCUUCAAAUCUGGCUUGGAUUCUGUUGAGUAAUCAAGCUGCAAGUCAAUAAACCUUGACUCAUCCAACCUACUAAAAUCACUCUCUUUGAGUGAGAAAACUCUCUUGGUUGCUCCACUAAACUCAUUCUUCUUCACAUUACCAACACCUAAUUCAGAAACCAAGACUUCAUCUUUCUUUUCACCAUCAAAACCACUCUUCCUUCCUUCACUAAAACCACUCUUUCUCCCUUCACUAAAACCACUCUUUCUCCCUUCACUAAAACCACUCUUCCUCCCUUCACUAAAACCACUUUUUCUUCCUUCACUAAACCCACUCUUUCUUCCAGAAUCCAAAACCAUACCAGCAGUGACACUAGAACUCCUUGCAGCUGAGAUUGAACUCCUAGCCCCAGAAACCAUCAAAUGAUCACCACCAUCCUCUGACUCAAACAAACUACCACCUCUAAAACUACAAAGAGACCUAGACCUUGACACACCCACAUGAUCAACCAACCACAUCUCACUUUUCUCAUCAAACCCACCAACACUUUUGUUCCCACAAUCCUUCUCUGUCCUCUUCUUCCUAAACAACCUCCCAAAUCUCCAAAACCCACUUCUCUUGAUCUCAGCACAGCUGCUGCUGCUCCUCCUCAGCACCACAGCCUCCUCUUUCUCUUGUGGUUUAGUCUUCUGCUUCACUAAAGCCUCAUUCUUCUCAUUCUCAAUCAGAAAAGAGACUCUCCCAACACUCCCUACCUCCCCAGUGCAUGAGUUUCGAUUCGAUGAGGAUGAGAUCUCAGAACAAGAACAAGAAGAGAGACGCUGCUCACCGCAAUCUGAACACACUAGUAAAGCUAGGCGCUCUUUCAGACAAUAAGCACAUAUUCCAAUGGAGGAAGAAUUGGGGUGUUUGUUGCAUGGCAUUUCAGAUGAAGAACAAUAGUACUCCAUGUCAAAGUUGUGAGAUGACUCCACAGCUUUGCCUCUAUCUCUCAUGGCUUGAAAGAAUGAAUGAAAGCUUGAAUCUUGAAGAUCAAGUUUCAAGUAAAAAAGGGUCUGUGAGAGAAUGAAAAUGGAUCGAAGCUGAGAUUUUUAAGAUCAAAUGCCAGCUCCAAAAGGCCUUGUGGGCUAUAAAAUGAAAGGCUCAACACAAUGUAAUCACUUUGGAGAACCGUGAAAGAAUUGGGUUAGAUGAUUGAGUAAAGUAAAGAGAUUUUCUUUGGGAAUGAAUUCAAGUAUUAAGAUUUAGAGGGUGAUUGAAGGAUGGCUGAAUUGAUAGAUGAAAGGAAGGCGUCAACUUUACGUUUGCUUUACAGCCAACAGUAUAAGCAAGGAAGAAAAAAAAGAGCGAGUGAUGCAAGAAAAGCACUAAUUCCCGCAGGCAUUAUUGUGUAGGGAAGUGAAUGUCACAGCAAGUUUGAGUAAAAUCAAUGAACAGAACCAAAGAGAAACCUCCAUAAAUCUAUUACACUGGUUCUGUGUGCAUUUGUACACCAUAACAAAGCAAUAUCCGACCCAGUGACCCACCGAACCAAACCCACAUAGUUCCCUACUCCCCACUCAAGAAGAAAAGUCAUUACAUCAUCUGGUCUAUAUCCCAUCAGUCUUUCAUCUGUUUUGUCAACUUCAUUUCUGCCGUCCAAGAUUUCCUUACUUCCCUCUCCUUUUUCUUUUUCCUCAUGUCCUUGCUUUUGAUGCCAAGUUCACUUUAACUUGAAAAACAUUUGCCACUUCUUUCCUUCUUGUUCCUCAAACAUAAGAAAUUAAUAUGACACAUUACCGCAAAUAUUACAAACUCGGACACUUGAUAUAUCUUUUUUUGGUGGAUUGAAAUGAGUUUCACAAACUUAUCUUUGAAAAUGAAUUGACGAUAUAUUAAGUUUUUGUGGCAAUUCAUCGAACAUUUCUCUUAUUCCGACAUGCGACAUCAAAAAGGGCAUAAAAAAGGUAAUGAAACUCACAUGGUGUUAUCGUUAAGCUAAGGGGUGGCAAGAGUGAAGCAGACAUUGCGUUUGUCCAUUUCCCUUUGACAUUCUACCAUCAUUCAUGGAGACACAAUCUAAUACCAUGUCGUUUUCUUGUUCUAUAUAGAGGCACGUGUCCCACCGACAGUUAAAUUUCAUGUUGUUUGACCCUUCCCAACUGGGAAAUGGACGAUGCUAAUGUGUUUCAGGCUGCCACUGACCCAGUAACCACCAUUUGAUGUGUCUGCAUCGUCAUUUCUAGGAAGAUCUGGAGUGAGCAUUUGAAUCGAGCUCGAAACUCAUGGUUAGGCUGCUAUCAGUGCCUCUCAAAGUCGCAAAGCUGGCUUAGGACAACAAUGAUGAUGGUUUUCGCAUCUGUCGCAGUGUGUGUAGUAGGGGCCGGGCUUUUUAUUUGAUAAAUCAGAUCGGAGCUUUCGACGUACCGUGAAGACUCUGAGUUUGUAGUGAUUCUCGUCGUUUCUCUAUAUUCCAUAACAUGAAUGAAGUUAUCGACCUGAUGUAAACUCACCCACAUUAUUAUUCAUCAUCACAAAUCUUACACUUGGUAUCACACCAUUUGAUCACAUUAUGGUGAUGUUUCUAGAAUGACUCUGUCUCGUCUCUAUCUCAAUUCUCAAGUUACCAAUAACUAGAAAGAGCUUUCGUUCAAUAUAUAGGUCGGACUGCUAAAUUACAAGAGCUAGGUAUACAACUGUUACAAGAAACAAAGAUGCAUUUGUUUAUUUUUAUGAAAACAAUACUAUGUAUAUUGAUGCCUCUCACAUUAUGAUCGCGAAGCUAUAACUAGAACAAUAAUGCUGCUGAGUGGUUUGCAUCCGUCACAGUAAGUGUGACAUGUAUGCUUCAUCAAACAAACAAACAAACAAAAGCAAAAGCAGCAAAAAUCACAUCGGAGCUUUUGACCUGCCGUGUAGGCUUGGCUCAGUUUGUACUGUUUCUAUGUAAGUUUGCAGUGAUUCUCAUUCCAGUUCCUUCAUAACUUGCAUGAAUUAAGGGACCCCUUCUUUUCUGUUGAUGAAAACUCACAUUCAUUACUGAUGAUCACAACUCUUUAGCACUAGUCAUCACACCAACGGAUCACCAAGUGCCAUCCAUGCAGCUCCAUUCACUCGUCUGGUCAUAUUUUCCCACUUCCAGCUUCAUGAACUUGAUUUUCAUGUUCUGUUCGAGAGGUUUCGGUGUUUGUUCCCCUGUCGACCUCAUCUUCUUAUGUUUUCGUUUUCAUUUUGAGUAUGAAAUUAGAAAGAAAAUGGUACGCAGCAGUACAGUACCAGAAGGCACGUCUGGAUAGAGACCAUAAUAGCAAGGUUGGCACGCCCAACGCAUGCGGAUCCUGAUGGUGUGUAUAGUUGAGGCACACAAUUAUUUGGUGAAAUAAUGUUUUGUUUAAUGUAAUGUGGGAUUAAACAAUGGUGGAAGUGUGGUGAUCAUUGUGUUUCCAUUGCUAUGAGCUCGUUAAUUAUUUUGUUGCUUUGCAAUUCAUUGGGUUUAAAAACGUUAUUGGGAUCGAAAGGUUAACACUAAUUAUAUGGCUGUACCACAUUGAGUGAUCUGAGAAAGAAGGAGAAGAAGAAGGGGGUAGGGCACUGUGGCCUAGGACUUUAAAUUUUGAUUUGAAAGUGUACAGUGCUAAUGAUUGAGUGCAAGUUUAGCUGAAGAGAUGAUAUUAUUAUGAAGUGAACACGCUUGCUGUCUGACAUGCACUUUCUUUGGGCUGUCAGUGACUCUGUGCCAUGUGCCUCCACCUAAGGCUUUCUAAUCAUUCACAUCAUUUGUUGGGUACAAGUUUUGGUGACCUCAUUGAAUCAAAAAAAAAGAAAAAAGGCUUGAUUAGAAAAUAAAAAGGAUGAAGCAGUAGGGUACCUCAAAGACUAUUUAUGUCCGGUAGUUAAUCUCUCGGCGUAUCUGAAAUGCUCCGGUUAAGCAUUAUAAUAUAAUGUCUAGUCAUCUUAAAAUCUUCAAAAAUCGGUUAGAGAGAGCACAUCCAACUAGACAAUAAAACUAUUAUGUCACAUGUAAUGGUUAAAGAUGAGACACUUUGUUAUGUUAAUUAAGAGUUGCAUGUUUAUACAAAAUCAUAAGAAUCUUUACUAAUCUCAUUUAAAGAACAUGCAUGCUCGCUUGUUCAGGUCAAUUGUGAUUAACGAAGAUUCAUCAUAUAGUUUCUAUAAUAUAUGUCGUUCGUUUGUUGCAUAGGUGAAGCUAUGCACAUGCCAAAAGUGGCCAUGGCACCCCCCAAGCUUUUUCUUCUACAUGUAUUUUAUCAUUUGAAACUAGUUAAUUCACUUCAUACUUGUGAUCAUCUUACACAUUGGCACCCCUCAAUCCUAAAGUUUGGCUCUGCCAUUGUUAUUAACUCACGCGUAGUGAAACUAUUUUAUUGCAUAACUAUACCACCCUAUGAUGGUGGGCAGAUAAUGUAGUUUCCUGCCUUGUAGGUUGUUCUCGUUCAUCGUUUCUCCAUUGCAGGUAAGAAAAAUGUGUAUAGACCAAACGCAACAAAGAAGAAAAGAGAGCAAGAAAUAUGUCGCAACUUCUCUAGCAAAGAACAUCAGACCCAAGACCAAGCAAGGCCCAACAACCCCAUAGCCUAUUAGCCCAAUCCACCACCAGUCCUCUCCCAUCCCUGACCUCUCUCUCACUUCUCUGAGAGAGCUCCCAUGAUUCCACUGCAAAUUCACCACCUCACUCCACCCUACUUGCCAAUUUCCCAAACUACCCCUCAUCUCCUCUCUCCCUUCUCCCAAAGACUCCAACUUUCCUCCAAACCCAACCUCCUCACCUUCCCCCCAAUUCCACUCCCAAAACCCACCUCCAAGCUUUUAAGGGCUUCACAAAGUCAGUCUCUUUUCUUCGGAAAUGAGGAGGACACCACCGGAAUUUCAUCUGGUCUCGACGACUUGUCCCCAAACGGCGUCGUUUACCGGAAAACACUUGCAUUGGUUGAGUGCUCCAUGUUUGCUGCUCUUACUGGGUUGGUCUAUUUCCUCAGCAAUUCUCUCGGAAUUGAGGUUUGUUGUGUCCUAUUCAAUUCUGGGUUCUUCUUAGAUUUUCCAAUUAACCCAAAUUAACUAACAAGUUAUAGUCUUUAUAUGGAUGAUGUUGGUUUCAGUAUUUCAUUGAAGUUUAUGAGAGUUCUUUGUUUUAAGCUUUACUCGGUUAACCCAAAUUAACUAACAAGCUCUCGUUCAGUUAUAUAUCUUGUUAGGCACAUCAGUUAAGUUUUUGUUGUCCCAUUUGAACAUUGAUAUGUUCAUGAAAUAUUCAACUGGGAUUCGAUCCACUCGAUGUUUGCUCUGACUUUUGGUCUAAAUUGUCAUACUGAUAUCUGGAGUAAAGUUAUUCACUCGUUUUUCUUACUAUCUCAGCAAUAGGGAAAAGUUACAGCUCUCUUGUAGCUAUUGAUAACUAGUAGUGAGGAUGUGUGAUCUUUGCUAUUUUGCCCUUGCUGAUGUUGUAACACCGUUGUAGGCUGAUAGUACCAAUUCCAAAGGCACCACCAUUUGAUGCUUGGACUUUGGAGUAGAAAACAGGUUUUUGUUUGAUUUUUUUAGCGUAGGUAUAAUCAUUUUCUCAGUUUGGAAUUAGAAAAGAGGUUUUUGAACUUUUCAUGUCCCUGUUUCAUUAAGAUUCUCGUCAAGAAUGAGAUACUCAUUUCGGACAAUCUUGAAGUUUUGAACUGUAAAUAUGUCUGUUUCACAACAAAAGACUAGCUAUUAAUCAACAAUCUAAUAAUAUGUGAUCACACAAGUAAGUUCGGGAAUUUAACACAGAUUGAUCAUUAGAUGAUAAGACUAACUGCAGAUUUCGAAUAAGAAAGUUGGAUCAGUCCCAAAAUUGAAACAAUUGCAGCGAAACAGAUUUCACACACAAGCUCUAAGCUUUAUGGAAGUUAGUUUCAGUAUUUCAUUGUAAGUUAUGAGAGUGAUUUGUUUUAAACUUUGCUUGGUUAGAAUGGGAUUAAAGAAUACACUUUAUUGGAUAUUAAUGCACUGGUUUACUAAUUUGAUGUGGAAUUUUUUUAUGGUUAGUUGGAUAUGUGCAUUUGGUUCAAUGAAGUUUUUUUUGGGUGCAGAAUUACUUUGGUUGCUUCUUUUCGCUGCCAAUAGUGAUCACCUCCAUGAGAUGGGGCGUCGCAGCUGGAAGGAAAACUAUGGUUUUGUAAUCAUACCUUUGGGAUUGAUAUGUUUGCUUUGUAAAAUUUUGCAGUAAUGUUGAUGAACUUUUGUCUUUGUAGGUGGCAACGACUAUGCUGUUACUUGUCUUGUCUGGUCCGCUGAAAGCCUUAACCUAUCUGGUGAGCGUGCUAUCUAUUUCGUUUUGUGCUUGUUUCUUUGAAUUUGAACUAGCAUGUAAAGCAAUUGUUUGGUUCUUCAUGUUCAAACUCGUUGUCUCUUUGUUCUUCAAAUUUUCACUGUACUUAGAAAUAAUUGUUUGUUUAUAUCAUACUCGUGAAAACUAUAUUGGACUUGUAUGUCCAUUGUGGUUGACCAGUAAUUGGCUAGCCGGUUGGCCAUAUUUAACUCAACGGGAACUAAUGUCAACUGGCCAACUCAUGAUUAAAUUACCUGGUGCUGAUCCUUCACUUUAGAAAAUGUUUCUAUUUCAAAUUAUUUAGUAUAAUUUAUGAAAUCUUUACAGUUGACCUUGUUGAUUGAUUAUUGACUUGCUUAGUAGAUGUCUCUCUUGUGCAGCUUAAGCAUGGACUAGUUGGCUUCACAAUGGGAAGUUUGUGGAGGUAUGAAGUUGUUCACAUUAUUCUAAAACUGUGGUUUUGGAAUUCUCUUUUGAAAUCUAAAGUUUAUGAUAUAAGUCAUGCUGCUCAAUGGUUUUAACUUUUAUUUUUGCAUCUUCUCAGGUCGGGAGCAAAUUGGACUACUUCCGUUUUGUUGUGUGCAAUUGUAAUGUUUUCUCCUUGCUGCUAUGAAUUCAUUACAUAUGUUGAAGCAAUAUUUCUCGUCUCUAAUUCUAUAAUUAAAAUGUUUGAAAUGGCAAAAUUAUUUUAUAUGCAGGUUCGAGCAUUGGGUUCUGUAGGCUAUGUUUUGAUCACUUCUUUCUUGAUAAGAGAAAACAUAUUUGCUCUGGUAAUACUUUCUCCUAUGAUUUGCUUGAUACAGUAUAUCAAGAUUCAAGUUACAUUUUCUAAUCUACCCAUUUUGCUUGCAGAUCACCAUAAACAUUCAUGCUUCUCUAACAUUCAUCUUCACAGCAGCGGGCAUCUAUACAGUUCCAUCGAUGGAGGCGAUAUAUGCCUUGUUUAGUAUUCUGGUAUCAUCAACUACCCUCAUUCAUUAUCUAUCCCCGUCUUCAAUACUGAAUUACUGAAGCUUUGCCCUUAAUAGGUUUUUAUAAAUAGCGGUUCCUUCACGUUCUUGUUGCACCUAUUGUAUGCUGCCUUCCUUUCGAGGCUCGGGAUGAAGGCAUCUUUAAGAUUGCCAAGAUGGCUGGAGAAGGCGAUAUAACAGCAUUUGAGGGACUGUUAGUGUUGAUUAUUGGAUGGGUUGGGAUAUGGCGACAAGGAUUGUGUAAGCAUUCCUGCUGUGGUAUCAUGUAUCAUCAUCAGUCAUCAUUGUUAAUGACUACAAUCUUUACUUGUAUAACCUCAUUUGAGUAAAGGAGAAUACAGAUUUCCGUUGGUCUUAUAUUCCCUGCUGGUAAAAUUUUGUUUUAGCUCUCAUCUAACCAAAAAUUUUGUUGUAACAUACCAAACUCACAACACGAUGCAAAGGACUUGAUUCAUGUUUCCAGAUUUCGUUAAAGGGUGAAAACAGAGUGGAACAGUGAGGUUUGUGGUCUCGUAUUGGGGAAAAGAACAGAUGUGAAGUUCAAUACACAUUGCUCCAGCAUCACACAAAAGAUGUUCACCCUGCCGCACACAUCAUAUAUUGAAACUUCAAACAUCUAUUUUAUAAAUUUCAAAUGACGCAACUGAACAAGAAUCGUGCCUAUAUGCUCUACUCUAUUCUGAAAGUCAACCAAACAAUCUAGUACAACAGUAGAAUGAAAAUAAAUUGGACCUUGAUCAAUGCAUCCGUUACUAAACUUCUUAUACAAAAGCUAUAUUGACGAAAUACUUGACCCGCAUCACUCUUGAGUUGCUGGCAGAACUGAAAGACGUUUACAAACAUCAGAGAACGAAUGCAACGUAUGCAUUUCUAACACAAAGCACAACAAUCUCCCGCAAUGAAUCAUACUACACUUACAUAUAAAAGGAUGAAAUGAAUGGGAAGAGAACAGCCCCACAAGUCAAACACAACCAGAACUCAAGCUUCUUUCCUAGUUAUCCUGUAAUUCAACAAUGAACUGGUAGUUAGGAUCAUAAGUAGAUUGGUCCUCUGUAUGAAGGAAUGAAGAUAAGGUGGAAUGGUAUGUGUUAGUCUGAUUAUUUGAACCUGGUAGGUGCGACCAAUAAAAAAGAAGAAGGCAAACCCCAUAAAAGUGGAGAAUAAUGUGCUUUAAUACAAUACCAUACUCACCUGAAGCAAUAGAUUCCCAAGGCUGUCGUGAUUUCAUGAAUGACUGAUGUUGCAAAAUGAAGAUAGAGUGCCGCUGUGUUUGGAAGAAAAGAAAUAUCUUACAGAAAGUCAUGAUAACACUAUAACAAAGCAGCAGCUGCUAAUGCAUAUCUAUAUUUGAAAAAGAUUCUAAAAGGACAGUAAUUAAGAAUGAAAAUUUAAAUUGUCAUCAGGAAAAAGGACAUUGUACAAAGUUGUUACCAAUAUAACACCAAAAGGAUUAUCAUACCUGUAAAUGCACAGUAACCGAGGAGAACCAAACUGUCAUCAACCAAUGGAACACUGCAAUGGAAGGUGACAGAGUAAGUUCAAGAGAUGAGAUCAGGACCAUCAAGAACAUAAAAAUAACAUUUCUAGUAAGACAGAAGAGCUAGUAAUAUCAAAUAAAACAUACCCAUCAUUCAGCCUAGCCGUGAGUGCAUUUGCAAUGGCAAAUGGGAGGUACAACAAUGACUGUACGGUUAAUAAAUAUUGAAAUUAGUAAUCCAAUUGGGUCUUCAAUAAAAUUAAAUCAUACAAAAUGAAUAAAACUCUGCCACAAACAUCAACAUUUAUCCCUCAUGAAAAAGUAAUAUAAAAGUAAAUCAACCCCUCUUUCCAUGGACAUUAGCAUGAACUACCAUAUUGAAUACAAAAGGUAGAAUCUUAACAUAACCUACAUACCAUGCACAUUCCAGUUUUCAAGCCCUUUGGCUCAUCACACAAGUGAGCAAGAAUCAUUCUUCCCUGCAAAAAAACAAGCUUUACUUCAAUAACAAUUGUAUAUAAAGAAUUUGAUAGUUCACAUGCUGCUCAAAAUCGUGUAAUUAGAAAUAUAGGACUUCCGUAGCAGUAAAUGUAGCAAUCCAAUUUGAGAUGAAUAAAAUGAGAAACUCCAAAUGGGUUAUAAAGACACAAAUAUCUUACCACAAGGUACCCAAAAGCAAGCCCAGUUCCCAUUAUGACUAAAUGUGGAUAGUUCUUCAUGAUGCCUGCUGGUGACAAAUAAUCCCUGAAUAUAGAUACAUACAGCAUCAAUAUGCCACUAAUUUGAUUUUUCUCUUUCUUAAAAGGAAAAGAAAAGGUGCCAAGGCGAUAAAAGGACGUACCAUGCCAAAACUACUCCCAAAAGAACAGCAAAAGGAUAAAGCUGGAAGGAAACAAGCGGAAUCACAUUAUGCUUAUAGAGUAUGGAGACUCAAUAUACAAGAAACACAAAAGAUAAUAACAUUACCAUUGCCAGUGCCAAUAGCAUGCUGCCUUUCCGUGCCUGGACGACCUUAUAAACAUUCAUAACACUGCAUAUAAGCAUGAAACCACAUAAGGUCUAACUGGCCUUCACAUAACUAAUGGAAAGUGUACCUUUCAGCUCUGACAGUUCAUAUCAAUUAAACGGAGAGAAGGCAAUAUAUAAAAGCACUUCAGAAACAUAUUUUGCAUAGAUUUACAGCAGGUUGGUGUUAUAUAAAUAUAUAUAUAUAUAUACAAAGUUUUGAUAUCAAUUUGACCAUGAUAUUAGUACGUAGGCAAUAUAUGAAGACGAAAGUGGUAAUGCAGUAACUAUGAGUUCACGUCCACAACGUGGGCUCAUCUGUACCAACCCUGCUUCUAAGACUUAAGCAUAUGCAACUAAAUUCAUAGAAGCAUGGGUAUCAAAUAUUCAAAUUACAGGCUCCACACAAAUUAGACAACCAAAAACAAAUCAACCUGAGUUAAAUAAGUCAGGAUGUAUGCAUCAAGAGUUCAGGAAUAGAUUGUAAAAGUAAGGAAGGAACAAGAAACUGUUAUAAAUGAAUUUGACCGAACAUUCAAAUGUUGGAGAAUGAUAGCCACGUACUUGAAUGUUACGGUUGGGAGAACAGCGAAAGCUAUCAUUAGUAACAACACAGCGUUGGACAUCGUAAUUUCUGAAGCAACAGCAAAAGGAUCAACUUUAGACCAACUGCUGUGAAAUAUUUGGACAACAAGAGCAUAGACCAAACCCCUCUGACUUGGUGAUAGCUCAUUGGGAAAGUAAAAUAUUUAAAAAAAAAAAAAGUACUCUUAUCAAUUCGGUAAUGAAAGAUGACCAAGUUAUCUUUAAAGGAAUAUCAAUGAAUUACAUUGUAGUAUCCAGGCCAAGCCUCAUGAAAUGUUGAUUCCCAUACAUAUGUUUGAUGCCAGAUUAAAUUAUGGUUUUUAACUAAAUUAUAAUCUUACCACUUAGAAAAGGGAUCCAACUCAGAAUAGGCAAAGACUUGCCAAAUGGUUGAGCCCACCACUCAGAACCUGAAAAAUGAAAUAGUACAACCACAUUUAAUACACAAAAAUUAUAAAGAAAACUAAUCACUAGGGUGUCAAUUUCAAAAGAAAGUUUCAAAUUUAUAUACAUGUAAGUAAACAAUAGCAAGACAAGAGUAGAAAUUUACCAACAAAUGCUGUGAAACAAUGACUCAAAUAUAUCAGCAUGAGACCCUCUGUGGGCCCAUUCAAGGCAGGAAGAAUUAGGGUAUUGGUAAAGUAACUGGAACAAUAAAGCCAAAUAUCAGUACUAAUAAGAAAUCAUCUAAUUUCAUAUUAGAUAUUCUUUUACCAGUAAUAAAUUACAAAACAUUCUAUUAGAGCAAUUUGAAUCAAUUGACUUCCCAAUUCUUUCCGGACAGAAAAAAGGGUGAAGUAUAACUUUUUGAUGAGAAAAGAAACCAUUAUAACUUGAGAAUCAAGGUGCACAUCAACCAUAUUGUUGGAUUUUACUCAAAGAGGGACGAGAAUGUGUAAACUAAAUAUAAAUUGAACUGAGUUAGGAAACUCACUGCUCCCAAGUUGCAAAGUAAAAUGGAACAGCUGAAAUCACCCAGAACCAGAAAGUGUUUGUUCCACACAUUGCAGUGCUCCCAAAAGCCAAUGCUUCAAGCUAAACAAAACCAUUGGGAAAUGAAGUUGCAUCAGAUAUAACAAUAAGAAAUGCAUUUACAAGGUUGCAAAAUAAUAAGAUAGAUGAAGAAACAUACCGCACAUGCAAGUGCAUCACAUCCUGCAAUACAAGUUGAGAAUGUUCAAAAUAUAAGUCAUCAAUCUCUAACUCUUAACGUAAAUAGUGGACAUCAUAAAUCUGAUAAAGUAAAUUACCAUGGUCAAACAGUUCCCCAAGUGGACUUGAGGAAUUUGUUCGUCUGGCUUGCUUCCCAUCAACAGCAUCAAAGGUCUAACAUAUUUGACAUAUGCCAAAUCAGCAGGCAAUAAUGGAAAAAUCCCGAUGCACACAAAAAUGCAUAUAAAAUGUUCCUCUUGUACAGAUAACACAUAAAUUCAAUAUGAUUAAUGACUAACCUGGUAUAGGAAAAGUAGCAAUCCAUGAGCAAAAUUGACCCAUCUAGGAGGAGCUGAAUCCAAUCUUGGUGAAUAUAUCUGGGCAGAAAACAACACAACAUAAUUCAUUGGAGUUCAGUAAACAAUAGCAUUUCUAUUUUACAGAUCAUGGACACGGCAACAAGAGGAAAUGCAUUUAACACCAUUAACAAUAGUAAAAGUAAACAUACGAAAGUGUAGAUGUUUAAGUUUACAAUUAGCAUUAUGGACUAGGAAACCUAACAUAAAUGGAAAAUGGUUCAAUGCAAAUAAACAUGAAUACAUGAUAAGAAAAGUUUUACUUACGUAGCCAAGCAGUGCAGAUGUGAGUAAGAACAUGAACCCUGUAAGUGUAAUCUGGUGGAAAUUAAAACAUCAGCAAUAUUAGAAAUGAAGAGUGAUGGUUACCAAAACUGAUAUGGAAACAACAUAAUCAGAUGGAAGUAAAAACUCUACCAUGUUGGGCCUGAAAAUGAACUCAGAAUCGUGAAUAUGUGAGGCGACCAAAGGAAGAGAAAAGGUUAGCAAACUCAGCAAAAAGAUAAGCUCGUGAUAAAGUUCUAUAAGCAAAUGAACAGGCAAUACGAAAUUUCAUGACCAAAUGAUCAUAAGUAGACAUACAAAAAGACUGCCAAAAAAGCACCCUUAAAAAAUGAAACACAUAACUACUAUAAGCUAAUAGCUGCAACUGCAACACUAUAUAUAUGCGCACACAAAAACACAAGCAAAUUCUCACAUCUAUAAAUAAAACACAGUGGUGGGUUUGUAAUACAACCAAAAUUCUAGAACUAUACAUGCUACCUAAAGUCCUUGCCUAUUUAGAAUUAAUUAUUGAAUAGAUGCAUGAGAUGUAAACUACCAAAAAAAGGAAUAACUAUAUCCAAGACAUACCCAACACAAGUUUAUCAAACAUGAUACAUAUGCCUCUUAAGCUUCAGAGAAUAAAUGUCUAUUCUCAGGUACACAAACAACCUCAUAGUUUUAGCAGCCAAUCAAACCCAAUAAAACUAGUUUGUAACAAAGACAAUAUUUUUAUCUGAACUAUAGGCAUGCACAACACUCGUAAAUGAAACAAAAACCGGGUUUUAACUUACGGCAUCCAUAGGGGAAAGAAAUUCACGAAGCGAGUCCAGAAGGGAUUCAAGACAUAUUUGGAUACUAAGGAGUGAUCUACACCACUAUACUUGUAUUUAUGCAAGGCAUUCACACCAUGUGCCCCAAUAUACCCCAUUUAUUCCAAAUCAAGCUCUUCCUUUUUCGUUUCACAGAACAACCUGCACAGGAAGUUAAACAAAAACAACUCAAUACAAGCAUCCCCACACAUAUCCAUCACUGCAGAACCGCUCAAAAAACUCAAACCAAAUCCAACUUCUGCAACAAUAACACACUUAAGCAUCUGGGUAAUGCUAGAAGUGCACAGAAAUCACAACCCAAUAAGCAUUUAACCAGAAAAACGAAUAAAGAUUCAAACUUUGAGAGGUUUAAAGCAUGAAAAGGCACCCAAAAGAUUAAUCUUUUCUCUUCCGAUAAAAUGGGUGUGGGGAAUCUAAAAUCUUACAGAAGUGGGUAACAGAUCAGAGAAGGGUAGAGGAAACAAACAGAGUAGAAUCGAUGAGAUAAACAGGGAAAAGGAUGUAGAUUUAACCUUGUUGGAGUGGGUAGAGAUCGCGCAAGACAGAGGAACAGAGUGUCUUCAAUCGAAACUUAAUAUAAACGGCACAAAAGGAGAGACAAAGGCGAUAUAACUUUUUUUAUAUUCCCGCCCUACUAAUAUAAGGUAUGGAAUUAUUAAGGUAAAUUUAUGGGCUUUUGGUAUUUUACAAAAACGUCCCAAAUAAUGUUGAUGGAAAAACGUAGAGAUUAGAGAGAGUUAAGAAAUUUGUUUGAGGAUUACAAUGAAGGUAGUAAAAAGGAAUCCUAAUUCCAUAGUACAUAUGUUUUCUCUUUUUCAUUAGACUAGCCUAGUUUUUUUCCAUUGACGUCCUAUCUUUUUAUUCUCAAUCUUUACACUUAAAUAAUUAAUCUUCACAAAAUGCAUUUUUUUUUUUAUCUAAACUCUAAUUUGGAGAUGUGGGUGUUUCAAAAGGAAGAUUUGAUGGAGGGUAUUCACUAAAUUUGAUGAAGUAUAAUAUGUGUAAUGUGUGAAGUCUUACAAAAAUAUUAUAUCGUAGAAAUACCAAUUACAGUUUCAAAAAUCAAAAAAGUUAUAUAAUGUUCAUUAAAUUAGGAACAUCAUAAUCUCAAACAAUACAAUACACCCCAAAGUCUCAAAGAGGGUGCGAAAGUAAAAUUGCAAUGUUUUUCAAACAAAAUAACCGUGAAAUUGGGUGUCAAGCAACUUUGAAGCCGGUUAACAUCUUGAAGCCAGGAAUUUUGUUUCUUUAAACUAUGAGUUACUAUGUUUUUUUUAUCUGUCUCAACUAACACGUGCAUAUCAAACUACUAUGUCUAUAGAAGAAGUAUAGUAUGGCAUCACUAGGCAAUGCAUUGGAAUGAAAUGAGGCCACACCUCCUCUCUAAUUGUGUUUGAGAUUGACUAUAACAAAUUAACAAUUGUUAAUCUGUUUGUUAUAGUACUGAUUAUAGCUUUGGCAGAACUUUCAUAUUCCUUGCGCACUUUCGACACAUGCGUGACACCAGCGGCUGCCUUGAAGUUGCAAGUAGGGCGAAGUAGAAAAAUAGAGUUGUGACAGUGAAAUCACUGAAAUGUGAGUUUCGAGUUGUGAAAUGUUGUGAGAGGUACUAGUAGAGACGUAGAGUUGUAGGAGUUGAGACGCGCAUCAAUGUGUGCAGUACGUGUUCCUGAGAUUUUUCUCCUCCACUUGCUUAGAUAUUCUCAGAUCGAUGAGUCCGGCCGACAUAUAGAAUUCCCUUUCAUCAAAAGGUCGUUCUUUUUGUAUGAAUGGACCAGAAUUCAUACUUCAAUUCAAUUUCAAGCCGAAAGCUACUUAAUUAGCCUCAGCAACACUCCCUGCUAAUUUAACUCGCACUACAGUCAUGCCAUGCUAGCUAAAAGUUCAUUUUCAUUAUCCCAAAUGACCUAAAAGGCUGAGAGAAUCUAAAGAGUCGAAAUUAAAGCCGAAAGGGCAUUCAGAGCUAGCUAUAAUUGCUUUCUUGCAGAAAUUAGCCAACGUACUGAUGAAUAAUGCAAGUAUGCAACAGUACUAUAUAUACGCAUGCAUGUUAUUAUUUCCAGUUGAUAUUAUUAUUAAGCUCACCCACAUUUACACAUGUCAAUAAAAAUAGAACCCUUCUACAAUGAUCGAUGGAAUUAUAAUGUACUAACAAGUCGCAACACACCGACAUAGGGCUUCACUACUGAUCCAAUCCACAACUUUCCAUUGUGUUCUUCAACCUCACUCACAGACUCCAGCGUCGGACCACCCUCUCCAUCCAAAACUUUCACAAUGUUUCCUUGCUCAUCAAACUUCACUCCCACCGGAUCUUUCGUCAACCAAAAUGCUGAAGAAGUCUGGUUUCCCUGUAAUGCUCUUCGACUAUUUAGUGCAACCCAAAAUUCACCAUUGUCGGUUCUCUUAAUGUUAUCGGCUGGCCUUUUCAGUUGAGUAAAGAGUUCUACAUCACCGGCAUUGGGUCCUCGAAGCCAAAGCUUGAAGAUUUUGGAUGUCGCAGAUUCGGCUACUAGGAGGAAAGAACUGUCCUUGCUUAGAGCCACACCAUUUGCAAAGGCCAACUUAUCGAGCAACACAGUCACCUUCUUUGUACAAGGGUCAUAUUGCAAUAACCUCCCGGUUUUGUCACCGGUGGCAAUUGACAAAGGCCAAAACCUUAAUUUGGCAUUGGUCAUGUCGUGCAGACAAACAAAAAAAGUGUAAGCAAGUAAAAGAGAAAACAAAAGAACUUUCAACUACAUCGAAGGUAAGUACGUACCUUCUUUGGAAAAUUGUGCUGGUGUCUGUAAAAUAGACAAUUCCAGUGUGACUAUCAAUCUCCAGAGCAUUCGUAAAACGGAAAGGGACUCCGUUUAGGGAAGUGGCAAGUUGUUGAGGAUGACCACCAUUGCGACCUAUCUUCAAGAUCCCGAAGUAGGCAUCUGCAAUAUAGAGUUCACAAGUUUUUGGGUGGAACUUCAGACCUAGUGGCCUUCCACAUAUUGGUUCAGUCGCAUUAUCGGUUGAACGAUCACAUAUUUUCCUUUGCCUGAUUAAUUAAUACAAAGUUGUAAAUUAAUGUCAAUCAUUCGGUUUUUCCUAACCCAAAUUAUUUUAAAAAGAUAACUAACUAGUUACUCGGAGACCGACCAUUUACAACGCAAGUAUGUAUCACGCUUAACUCGAAGGUGAAUGUUCUACAUUUGACACAUCAUUUAUUUUGUUCUUGCUCUCAAGUCUAAAACAUCACUUUAUAACUUUGUCAUGCAUUGUAGAGACUUCAAUUGACAGUUUAGAAUUUUUCAUACAUGUUAUAAUUAUCUCAAUUUCUAUCUCAACCCUAAUAUUUGCAACUGACCAACAACCAACCAGCUAGUGGACUUUCAUACAUAGAGCAGUCAUAUACGCAAAAGAAGUAUCUUAAAGAAAAAAUGGUCAACUAGAUUGUAACUAGUAGGUAGCUUGCCUGGUUGGGGAGGUGAAGGCAAACUCCUUCCAGCCCCGGUGAGGCCCUUGCCAUUUGAGAAUUCUUCCAUCUGAAACUCCAACAUAAGGCCCUUUUCCGGCGCAAUCGAAUGCAACGCUCUCAGGACCAACGAUGCUACUUGGGAGCUCGAUUUGAUGGUAUUUUGUCAGGUCGACAACAGAGAAAGUUGUGGCUGGUGUGGAUGAUGCUAGGAUCAACGAAAACAAUAACAAGGAGAGUGAAAGAAAAUGUGGCUUCAUGGCUAGCUAUGAAGAUUUUCUUGAAUGAUGAAACGUACAGAAUGUGGCUCUCUCAGAUCGAUCUGAUUGAAGAUCGCUUCAGGGUCUGGUUUUCUCUAGCUUAUAUACAGAUCGUAUAGAUGGUGUUGUGUUGUAGAUGCCAAAGUCGUCGGUAAUAUUGAAUGGUUCAAUCAAAACUUGGAUAUAUAGAGGCUAACCAUUCAAAUAGCCACUUAAUCUUUAAGGGCUAAAGAAUUAUGACAGGAUGACAAUGCUAACAUGCUUUGUCCAUGCCAGAAGGCUGCAAAUCACUAAACAAUUAAACAAGCAAACUUUUAAGUAAACUUCUAUAUAUCAAACCACUUUAGGAUUUCAAUAUGAAAAUGUUUGAGCUAACGUAGUUACGUGCGUAUGACUUCACAGAAAUUACAACUGUAUCUUCAGUUAUAUACAAGUAUAUACAAUAAUUACUGGCAAGUUUCAUUAGGGUUUCAUAAUAGAAGAACUUUCUCUUCUUCGUCUUCAUGACUCCAUCCACUAUUUCUUCUUUCUUUAGCUUAGGGCUUAUCUUUUUCACCAUGAUCAGAUUUCUCACAGUUAGUAGCUUGAUGGACGCCAACAAGCUAGUAAUGCGUCGAUGUUUUUUCAUUGAACUCAUCUUAGUAUAAAUGAGGUUCCAUAUAUACGUAGAAUGAGAUUGCUUAAAGAUCGAGUACAUUUGGAUUAUCCAUAUUGAUAACACCAACAUAGGCUUUUACUACUGAUCCAAUCCACAACUUACCGUUGUGUUCCUCAACCUCGCUAAUAGACUAAAGCGUCGAACCACCCUCUCCAUCCAACACCUCCACAACGUUUCCUUGUUCAUCAAACUUUACUCCCACCGGAUCUUUCGUCAACCAAUAUUCUGGAGAAGUCUGGUACUGUCUUAGACUAUUCACUGCAACCCAAAAUUCACCAUUGUCAGUUCUCUUAAUGUUAUCGGCUGGUCGUUUCAUUUGAGUGAAGAGUUCCACAUCGCCAUCUUUGGAUCCUCGAAGCCAAAGCUUGAAGAUUUUGAACGUGGGAGUUUCGGCUACCAGGAGGAAAGAACUGUCCUUGCUUAGAGCCACACCAUUUGCAAAUGCCAAGUUAUCGAGCAACACAGUCACCUUCUUUGUGUUGAAGUUGCAAAUCAAAUAAAUGAUGUUACUGUUCUUGUGGAGGCCAUCUAGAUGGCAAUCACGUUUUACUUCUUCUACCUAUUAGCUAUUGCAUACUAUAGAUAUAGCUAGGCCAUUUUGGUUGAAUAAGUUCUGCAUGUUUGUUGCUUUCUCAUAUGCAUGGUGUAAUAAGUCAAGACAUUGCAUUCAUUGCUUUGUCUACUAUGUUUUGUUAGAAUUCCUAUAUAAGGAAUCAGCUAGUACUUAUUGUAUCAUCCCAAUCAACUCAUUGAAGAGUUCAUCAAUAAGAGAAGUAGAUAGUUUUCAAUUUCUCUAUUCCUUUGCUUUGUUGUUCUUGCUUCUUUCUUUAAAGUGUGAGUGAGAGUGUGGUGUGAUUUGUUUGUAAACUUAUCACCCAUUAUAGUUGGUGUUAGAUUGAAAGCCUGAAUACCAACACUUUGUACAAGGGUCGUAUUGCAAUAACCUCCCGGUUUUGUCACCGGUGGAAAUUGACAAAGGCCACAACCUUAAUGUGGCAUUGACCAUGAUGAGAAGACAAGGAAAAAUGUAAGCAAGCUAAACAGAAAAGAAAAUAACUUUCAACUGCGUCAGAUGUGGAUGCUUAAUUAAUAUCAAUAAUUUGAUGUAAAUAUAUGUAGUACCUUCUUUGGUAAACUGUGCUGGUGUCUGUAAAAUAAACAAUUCCAGUUUCACUAUCAAUGUCCAGAGCAUUCGUAAAACGGAAAGGGACCUCAUGUAGGGAAGUGGCAAGUUGUUGAGGAUGACCACCAUUGCGAUCUAUUUUCAAGAGCCCGAAGUAGGCAUCUGCAAUAUAGAGUUCACAAGUUUUUGGGUUGAACUUCAAACCUAACGGCCUUCCACAUGUUGGUUCAGUCAUAUUAUCGGUUGAACCAUCACAUAUUUCCCUUUGCCUGGUUGAUCAAUACAAAGUUGUAAACUAAUGUCAAUCAUUUAGUUUUUCCUAGACCAAAUAUUCAAAAAAUAAUUAAGUAAUAGAUGAGGCAAUAUUAGUUCUUCAAAAGAGACGGACAUUUAAAGAGUAAGUCUCACCCUCAAACCCGAAGAUGAAAGGAUCUACCACCGGAGCUCCCUGGCCCGCUCGCUCAUCGGAUCCCCUUGUCUAAUUUGUUUCUAGACUUAACUUGAAUGUCCCCCUUUAUUUUUUUUUUUUGUCUCUCAAUCUAAUAUCGAUUGGCCUUAGUGCAGAUAUAUAUAUAUAUAUAUAUAUAUAUAUAUAUAUGUUAAUAUCUCAAAUUCUAUAUCUUAACGCCAAACAACCCAAUUAACCAGCUAAGUAUAGCAGUGGACUUACAUAAACAAAUCCCAAUUGCUUGUAUAAAGUAGUCAUAUAUACAAAAGUCUUCUUGUGAAUAUGUGAAAGACAAAAUGCAGAAGAAGCUGGGGGGAUAUAACUUAAAAGAAAAAAGAAGUCAGAUAGAUGAUAACCAGUACUAGUAGCUUGCCUGGUUGGGGAGGUGAAGGCGUACUCCGUCCAGCCCCAGAGAGGCCCUUGCCAUUUGAGAAUUCUUCCAUCUGAAACUCCAACAUAAGGCCCUUUUCCAGAGCAGUCGAAUGCAACGCUUUCGGGUCCAACUGCGCCUUUUGGGAGCUCGAUUUUAUGGUAAUUUGUGAGGUCGACAACAGAGAAAGUUGCUGCUGGUGUGGAUGAUGCUAGGAUCAACGAAACUAAGAACAAGUAGGGUCAAAGAAAAUGUGGAUUCAUGGCUUUCUCAGAUCUGAUUUGUACAUGCUGUAUUUCCACUUAAUUACAGAUCGAGUUGCCAAGGUGGCAAAGUGUGUACGUACGUAUAUGUAUUGUUAGACUUGUGAGUAGUCAUAUUCGUGUAGAAAAAGUGUACUUGUAGUCUAGAAGAGCCAAAUUUGUAAGACGAGCCUAGCUACUUGGAGGAGAAGAUGGUGUGGUGAUUGCAGCAAAUAUAGGAAACGAAAAACAAAUGGGAUUGUCUAUCGUACCAUAUGAUAUGACAUGCCUAUUACAAAUGUGUCUAAUUGUAUGAUAUAUGAGAGCUUUUAAAGGGGUAAAUGGUUAUUACAUUGUCAUUUAGUUGUUUAUUCAGUCAAUAAUAGCCACACAUUGUGUGAGACAUGUUAUAACAUAUGAUAUACUAGAAUUUUCCAAAACAAAUAAAUUUGAAACUGAUUUCAUAAGAUGCCUAAUCAAGGGGUCAACUUUUAGUGUAUUACGGCAUAUAAGUAGCUGGGCAAAAGGUCAAAAACGUGGCCAAGGAUCACGUACCCUGCUUAAUUAUCUCUAGGCCUCAGUGAGGUGCGGAUGAAUUAUCAGACUUGAUAAACCUAAAGAAAGGACUUAAAAACAACAAUUAUGUCCCUAACAAUAUAUGAACACAAGCCAACUAAAAAGAUAACAACCUAAUAGAGCCGUUACAUGAUUCCUAAUCUAAGUGACAUAACAUGCCACAUAGGAUUAAAAUCAUAAAUAUGAGGUCUUAUUAAGGUCCUCUAGCACUACUUUUUUUAGGUUAUGAAUCAAUCUAGCUAAUAUGUUAUAUGUACACACUCGUUUUUCCUAUUGAUCGUUAAAAAAAAAGUUAAAAACAAAAAAAAAACUCAAUCAAUUGACCUUAUUGAUCAUUGUUUUGUCUUUCGGAGCCAGUGUUCACUCUGUGCAUACAUUGUUUUUUUAUAAGGGUCUUAGGCAUAUGUAUCCGGCCAUAUUUAUAUAGGUUAGGCAAUUGAUUUUCCCAGCUGAAGUUUUGAAACUUAUUGGAGAUGAUGGUUGCCUAACCUAGCUACAUGGAUACAUAGAAGGUUUGAAACUUACUGGAGAUAUGGAGAUUAAGGCUGCCUAACAUGGCUACAUGGAUACAUAUGCCUGAGGCCAUUUCCAGGCUCCAGCGGAAGGCUGCAAAAAGUUUAGGUUUGAACUUACAUUAAACUUGGAGUUACGUUUUAUUCUGCUUGCUGGAGAUGAGUUUUGACAAAUUAUAGAACCUGCUUGGAGAAGGUCUUAGUCAAACCAGAUCGUUUAAACGGUCGUCCAUGAGUGUGUUACAGUAAUAUGAAGCAAAACGUACACUCCAAGAAAUACCGAAGCCAUAAUCAUAUCAAGUACAUAAAUGUAAUAGGAAAAUCACCUAUAGCGCCUCUUAAUUUGUUGGAGAUUGUUGUUAAUUAAACAAGAAUCUUCCACACUGCUUAUGCUUGCUUAACUGUAUGAUGAGCUGGUUUAUGUAACAACCAACAUGGCAACAUGCACGCUAGUACUAGUAGUACAUAUCUAGUUGAUUAAUACAAGCCUACACCAACAUAUGAAUUCUGCGCCGAUCCAAUCCACAGCAUUCCGUUGUGUUCUUCAACUUCACUAACAGACUGAAGCAAGGCUGCAGCACUAUCUUUUCCAUCCAACACCUCCAAAACGUUUCCAUCCUCAUCAAACUUUGCUCCUACAGGAUCUCCUAGCAGAGUCGCAGAUAUUGAUCCUCCUACCCCGUUGUUGAUCGCAACCCAGAAUUCUCCAUUGUCAUUUCUCUUGAUGUUAUCUGGGAACCCGACUAGCUGAGCAAAGAGUUCCAAGGUAUUAGCUUUGGGUCCUCGAAGCCACAACCUGAGGAUCUUCAGCGUCCCGGUUUCGAUUAAGAGGAGGAAAGAUUUGUCCUUACUUAAAGCCACACCAUCUGGAAAUGCUAAUCCCUUGAGCAACACAGUCGCCUUCUUUGUUCUAGGGUCGUAUUGCAUCAACCUUCCAGUUCUGUCAGCGGAGAUGAUGGACAGUAUCCAAACACUAUGACAUGAUAAAAGAAAAUUAAGAAGAAGUUAUAUUAGAUUCCUACAACUAAUCUUGCGAGUUAUGAAAUGAACACAGAGAUGAAAAGAAACAAGGAGUUAAGCAUGCAUAUAUAUAUAUAUAUAUAUAUACAAUACCUUCUUUGGAAAAUAAGGCUAGUAUCUGUAAAGUAUACCAUUCCAGAUUCGUUAUCAACGUCCAAAGCAUUUAAGAAAUGGAAGGGGACUCCUCCUGCAGAACUUGCAAGUUGAUGAGGACGGCCACCAUUUGGCCCCGUCUUCAGGAGCCCAAAAUAGGCGUCUGCAAUAUAGAGCUCACACGUUGUGGGGUUAAACUUCAGACCUAGAGGCCUUCCGCAUAUCGGUUCAUUAAACUUGUUGGUUGAGCCAUCGCAUAGUUUCCUCUGCCUGAUUGAAUCAACAAAACGAUCACUCUCCGUUCUCCAAUAGAUGCAUGCUUAGCUUAAAGACAGCUUAAUGCAAGUACGUACUAACCAAGCAAUGUAUGUAGUAUCAUAAAAAAUUAAUUACAAAACACCACCCGAACUAUGAUGUUAUUUUCAUUUUCAUACCAAACUAUCAAAAUCUUGCAUUUGCAUACCCUAACUUUCAUUCCGUCAGCAUUUUGAUACCUUGACCACUAACAUUGUUAAAUUUUGAGGGCUUUUUCGUCAUUUCAAUAAAUGUAUCAUUUUUUACAUUUACUUUAAGAAUUAAUUAUAAAACAUCACCCGAACUAUGAUGUUAUUUUCAUUUUCAUACCUAACUAUCAAAAACUUGUAUUUUUGUACCUUAAGUUUCAUUCUGUUAGCAUUUUGAUACCCUGACCACUAACACCGUUAAAUUUUGAUAAUAGUCAAAGGCGUUUAUGUCAAUUCAUGAUAUCUUUAUAAUUGAAAUUCAAAAUUAUACAUUAAAUUGUUAUUAAAAUUAAAUAUCUUUCAUUACUAUUGUUCAAACUCGAGAACACCUUUUCUUCACCCAAAUCAAUGAGUUAUUGUGAUCACUGACUAAAAUAUCCUCGAUAUUUUCUCAAAUUUUUUGUUUUUUACAAGCAUCUAUAUUAAUUUUCAUAUUUUUCCAAUAUUUUAUAAUUAAUCCAUUUUUAGUUGAAUAUACCAUGUUUAUAUAAAAUUUUAUAAAAUUUUCAUUGAUAUUCAAUAUUUUCUUGAUAUAAUUUAUUUAUUCAUUUUGUUUUGCUUAACAUGUAACUCCAAAAAUAUAUAUACAUAUAAGAGUUCUACUAACUUUUAUCACUAUUGUUGCAAAAAUAAAUAUUUAAUUUUGGAGUUUUUUUUUUUGAAUAUUUUUGCUAAAGUAAAUUGUUCUAUUUGUAUUUGAUAACCUCAAAAAAUAAAUUAUUUUGUUAAAGUAAAUAUAAAAAAUGAUACAUUUAUUGAAAUAAGGAAAAUGCCCUCAAAAUUUAAUGGUGUUAGUGGUCAGGGUAUCAAAAUGCUAACGGAAUGAAACUUCGGAUAUAAAAAUACAAGUUUUUGAUAGUUAGGUAUGAAAAUGAAAAUAGAAUCAUAGUUCGGGUGGUGUUUUGUAAUUAAUCCUUACUUUAACAAAAUAAUUUAUUUUUUGAGGUAUCAAAUAUUAAAAAAACUUCAAAAUUAAAUAUUUACAACAAUAGUGAUAAAAGUUAUGUAUGCAUAUUUUUGGAGUUACAUGUAUAUUAAAUAUAAAAUAUAAAAUAUCAUAAAGAUAUGAAAAUUAAUAUAUGCUUGUAAAAAAUAGAAUGUUCGAGGAAAUAUCGAGGAUAUCAUGGAUAUUUUAGUCCAUGAUCACAAUAACCCAUUGAUUUUGUUGAAGAAAUGGUGUUCUCGAGUUUGAACAAACAGCAAUGAAAAAUAUUUAAUUUUAAUGUACAAUUUUUAAUUUCAAUUACAAAGAUAUUAUGAAUUGACAUAAACACUCUUAAAUAUUAUCAAAAUUUAACAAUGUUAGUGGUUAGGGUAUCAAAAUGCUAACAUAAUGAAACUUAGGGUAUGAAAAUAGUAGUUUUUGAUAGGUAUGAAAAUGAAAAUAACAUCAUAAUUCGGGUAAUGUUUUGUAAUUAAUCCUAUCAUAAACUCAUGAGAUCCAUUUAGCUAGCUUGCCUGUUCGGGGAAGUGUAGGAAAACUCUGUCCAUCCCUUGAGAGGUUCUUCCCAUUUGAGAAUUCUACCAUCUGAAACCCCAACAUAAGGUCCUUGUCCACGGCAGUCGAAUGCAACGCUUUCAGGGCCGACUGUGUUAUUCGGGAGGUCGAGCUGGUGGUAGUUCCUGAGGCUAGCAAUGGAGAAAGCUAAUGCUGGCUUGGAUGUCGAGGUUGAUACUAGGAUGAUGAUCAGCAAACAAGACUGCAAGCAGAAUGAAGCAAAAUGAGGGUUCAUGGCUGAAUAUUAAUUAAAGCUGCCGAAAUGUUAUGAUCGAAUACUAUAGCUAGCUCAGGCAGCUAUUUAUAAACAGCUUAACAGCGUUUUGCAUGCGUAUCAUUUCCCAACGACUUAACAUAUAUCUUAAUUAGCCACCCCACAAGAACAUUAUCAAAAUGUGAUCAAAUCCCCACAUCAUAAAGACGUUUGAAUGUUGGGUACGUUGGUUAAUUGCUAUACCAUAAAAGAGGCUGCAAUUUGCUAUGAAAGGGUCCUCGACGGAUUAGUGUUUAGACCUAAAUAACCUUUAGAAUACCGCGAUCAAUAUAUCCGUAAAGAAUAUGUCAAAUAGAGUAUACAUGUCUUGUUAAUUCAACUUUUAAUCAAAGUUAUUAGUCGAAACUUAAGAACUUAUAGCUAUAUUUCAGCCCAAUAUAUUGGACCAAAAUCGAUAAUUUCAGAUACAUUGAUGCACACAACAUAAAACUUCAGUACCGUUAAUCAUCAAAAGGGAGCGACAGCCUUCAAUUCAUUCGGUUCCGGAUAGCAAGGUGUGUGUAGUCAACUGCAGAUACAACAAAUAGGGCAACAACUUCAUUUCAUAAAUUUCGCAUGCAUGAAUGUAAGCAUACAAGUCUACCUAUGUGUGCGUAGGUUGGACUCAUACUAUAAUCUCUCAUCCUAUCAAUUGAAUUCCAUUAUUGUUAGACAAAAGCAUGUGCUAGACUCAAAUUACAACACGUCCAAUUGAAUAUGACAACGAUGUCGAUCAUUCAUUUUAUUGAAAAUGUUAGUUAGUAGUUAGUACGUAUCACAAGAACUAAGUAGUACUCGAUUGAUUCAUCCGCCGGAAUUAACCAUAUAAUUAAUGAAUGAACCAAGCACUAGUCCCUGCUGUGAAGCACUGAAGCUAGCACACAAUCGAUCACUAGCUAGCUAGAUUUUGUUUAGUGAAAACCAAUCUGCAUUUGGGAAGAUAGACUUUCAUUUGUGAUCAUCAGCAGCUGCAUGCAUGCCUAGCUAAUAUUCUUAUCCAGGUUUUGUUUCUUCUUCUUCUUCUUUUUGAACUUGAAUCAGUUGACUUGGUAUUAAUUUCCACGACAUGAAUACAUGAAUCGAUAGAUCUGUCAAUUAUAUGUAUCUGCAAAAAUCGGAUAUAUAUUUUGCAAGUUGCAUUCAAGUUUUGACAAGUGAUCGAGUCCGGUAGUAGUUGAACAUAUAUGCAGAACUGUUCUAUUUAUUAUUCUCGACCAACUCGGAGUUGCCUGAUCGCGAUCGAUUUGGCAUGUUGAAGGGUCUUGCGCUUAAUAAUGGCGUUCAAAAAUGGUGAGAUUUUACACUUUAAAUAUACUCCUAUCUUUCUUGUUGAAUGGAAUUAGGGUUCUAAUAUAUAAUCUGAAGUCUUGACUCUUGAUCGAGCUUAAUUAGCGUCGACUUCGCCUCCCAUCCUUAGACAUCAGGCCAAGCCCAUAGGCAACUAGAUGUCAAGACAAGAUCGAUCUCACAGCAGCCAACAAAUUAGAAGAAACAACGACGUCGAAGCUAGAAGAUCGAUCAGGUCCAAAAGAAAUACAAUCAAGGGAGGCCCGAAGACCCAGAUAAUACUAGGUCAAAGUCAUCGAAUUCGAACAUCAACAUAUAUGUAAAGACGAUUGAGUGCUCUCAUGUCAUAUUUUCAUCUGUGUAAAUUAACAUGACCUAACGUACGUGUACAUAUGACAACAAAUUAUCACCAUCAAUCCUCAAUUUUCUCUGCUCUCCACGCGAAGGAAGAGAGGGAAGAGGGAAGCAAGUUGUCAAUACCAUCAUGUACUCUAUUCGUUGUUCCCUGCCUUGGAGAUGUUAAACAUAUGCCUUUGCUAUACACGUACUGUCUAUUUCUAGAGAGUUUGAUCGUGAAAUCUUAGUGAUCGAAACUGUAGUACUGUACUGAAAACGAACAUGGUGUGUAUACGUAUUGUAAGUAGUUUAGCUAGAAGUUCCUUUUCUUUAUAAGUUGCUUAUAAUAGAGAGAUUUGUAAGUCGUUCGCUGGCCAAAAUGUCUUUACUGCUCCACGAACAUCUUACUCGGGUGUUCUGCAAAUUUUCAUUAUGGCAUCGAUCCCUCCUCAUUUUACCAAAAACACCAUAUGCCAUGCAUGCGACAUUGCAACACAAAGGGAGACAAUGACUUCUAGGUCGUGCUCCGUCCGAUGGUCACACUUCUCAGGCUGAGCAUCUCAGCCGUAGCAGGAUGAGAGAAUUGUGACUUUCGGAGCUGACCAUGCCAUCUCCGGAUCCUUAUAGCAGUAGAUUGACUAGCUUGCUCUACGAGCCUCGAUCCACAAAUCGGUGCUCGUGUUUGAGCCCAGUGGGUAUUUUUGGUUCAAGACUCGGGGUACGUUUUGGAUAACAUUUGGGCCAGUACCUGUGACCCCUUUUUUAAUGCAAAGCCCACGAAGGGUGGCGAAAUCUGGCAACACACGAGUUGGAGUUUUGCAAGGAUUCUGAUACCCCGCGGGAUUCGAUGUCCUCGCGGGAUCCUUUGUUCCAGUUCGUGAAGGAUUCUACAGUGCAUGGCGAGGUAGAGUUGGAAAUGGACUGUAAUACUCCGCGGGAUAGGAUCGCUUAGUGUUCGAGUUCGCGUACGACGCUACAGUGAGAUGAUGCGGGGCGGUGAGCGAGACCUAGGCGAGGUCUGUUCUGGACACGUGUUGCACGGAUCACGCGGCUCGCAAGCUGGUCGUAUCCUUGUGGAAUUCUAAUUGCUGAGUCCGAAUGGGUUGUAACUAGGUCUCUGCGAAUUGCUUACGGAUCGCUAUAUAAGGGAGCUUAACACAAUCAAAGAGGACACACACAAUCAAUCAUACAAAAACAAUUACAAGUCCUCGAGCAUCCUCGAAACCCUAAGUUCUAAGUUCACUUCGCCUUAGUUCUCAGACUCCCUCCUGAUUCGCUUUUUUUCCCUAUUUGUUGCUCUGCUCACCCUAGCAGUGGGUAUCGAUUCACAGGUGACAAGAGAUCUUACUUGUAAUCCCUCAUCCGUGAGGUGGCACCGGUAACCGUCUCUUCGCUUGUUUAGAAGUCUAGCCGCAGCGCAUUCCUUUCCUCGCCCGCGAGGUGGCAUGCCCCGCAAAUCUCAUUUUCUUUACUUUUGAGUCACCGGAGUUCCGACUCUGCCCCUGCUGAGAUACGUGGCCAAAACAGCUCGUAUUCUUCAUGCUUGGAAUUUGGGACCUUGAUGUCUCUAGGAAAGCCAUUACCGUAUACUGUUGUUGUCGGACCUCGCUUUUUCCAUCGCGCACUACUGAAGGGAAAGGAAGAUAAAGAUGAAGAUUGUAAACCAUUGACGUCAAUUAUAGUCGACAGAUAUUUAGGAGAUUAAGACUAUACUUGUAGAGUGGACUCUUUACGACAUUACCUCAUUCCAAGUCUAAAUAUAGAGAGACUAAGGAAAUAGACAAGCUAGGUCUGAUUAAGGAGAUAAGACCCGUACGUCAAAGUGCUUAACAGCUCAUGAUCAUACAUGCAGAUCUUAUCAUUUCAUUUUUUAUACAUAAUCAUUCUCAAAAGAAAAGUAUUUUAUACAUAAUCCUGGAUUAUACUGGAUGCAUUUUAUUUAGAAUACAGAAAGCCGUCGUAUAAAACGUACCUUUAUAUUAAGAAAUCUCAGGCCAACUUCCACCCCACUACUCCUCCUCCCUCCAAUUGGUCCCUUUAAACUUGGUUUAACUAUAGACAAAGCAAGCUAUUUAAGCACUAUCACCUUGUUUAGUGGGACAAGAAGGGAAGGAUCACAACCAAAGAGAGCGACUAGCCAAGGAGAGAAUCGAUUCCAUCAUUUUAAUGCAUAAAAAUACUGCAUUAUUGUCCAGAAACACUUGUUAAAUACCCCAUUUGAUUAUAUACGUGGAUGAAUGAUGAAAUCCAUAAACCCUGGG
rnacentral:lncRNA from 1 species